GAAGCUGGUGACGCCCGAGGGCGAGGUGGAGCUGGAGGUCCCCGAUGACGUCUACAUCCUCGACCAGGCCGAGGAGGAGGGGAUCGACCUGCCCUACUCCUGCCGCGCCGGCUCCUGCUCCUCCUGCGCCGGCAAGUUGGUGUCCGGCGAGAUCGACCAGUCCGACCAGAGCUUCCUCGACGACGACCAGAUGGAGGCAGGGUGGGUGCUCACCUGCCACGCCUACCCCAAGUCCGACAUCGUCAUCGAGACCCACAAGGAGGAGGAGCUCACCGCAUAAGCUGCUUUACCUAUCUCUCUUUGCAAGAUAAUAUCACGGACCCUGAGACCUGUGUAAACCCUGAGAGCUGAUUUCAUGCAUGCACGGACAUUGCCAGAUACACCGAAUUGUUUGUGCUCGAAUGAAUUGCUCGAUGCAUGGUUUGCUCAAGUAAUAAUGUCUUCGAAUUACUACCUUUUUGUACCGUAAGAUAUACUACUGCCGUAAUACUAGCGUGUACCUUGUACGUAACUCGACGUACUGAAAUGAAUCCUGAUGGCUGAGGCGUCUCUCUGAUUAAUAAUAUCUUCUCUUUAAUUAAGAGACUGCUGAAUUACUUGAUGAACAUCUUACCUGGGACUUUCUUCUAUAUCCAGAUAAUAGGUGCAUGCUACGACUUGUUUCAAUAUGAGUUACACAAUUUCCUCAUUAUUUUGUUUACCCACAAGGAGACCUCUUUUCCGCACUCAUUUUUGUCCUCACUACUGAUUUGCUCCAAUCCAUUUUCAAUGAAGCUUUGGACAACAAUUUGAUAGGUUUGCCCAUUAUCACUAAGAAUAACAGAGAUUUCCUUAUAAUCCAGUAUGCAGAUGACACCAUUAUUAUCUUGCAUGCAUGUCCCUUGCAAAUUCAACAAGUUCAGAACAUAUUGAUGCAUUUUCGGGUUUACACAGGUCUCAGGGUCAACUACAACAAAUCCAUGAUGGUUCCCAUGAAUGUACCUGCUCAUAACAUCAAGCAACUCUCAGCUAUUUUAGGUUGUGCCCACAGUAGUUUUCCCUUUACUUACCUUGGACUUCCUCUUGGCAUUUCUAAACCCAAGGUUGAAGAUUUUGAAAAGGAUUGGAUCUAGACUUGCUGGUUGCUCCACAAUGCUUUCCUAGGGAGAGAAACUCAUUCUUGUGAAAUCUGCUUUCACUAGCCUACCUACUUCCUUCAUGAGCAGUUUAGACCUCCCCAUAGGAGUUGUUGGCCAUAUUAAUAAAUACUUGAGACAUUGCUUUUGGAGGAAAUAUGGGAUGGACGACAGACGUACUUCUCUUAUAUUCUUGGGAUAAAAUUUGCCUUGCUAAGGAAGCUGGUGGACUUGGAGUUCUUGAUGUGCAAACUCAGAACAAAGCUUUGUUGAUGAAAGAUCUGCAUAAUUUUUUCAAUAGUUCUGACCUCCCUUGGGUGGACCUUAUGUGGAGCUCCUACUAUACUUCUACCCCCUCCUCAUGUCACACCUGUUGGUUCCUUCUGGUGGAAGUUUAUUCUCAAAUUAAUCCCUGAUUUUAAAGCCAUCUCUUCCUGCAGCAUGGGGCAAGGGAACUAUGUUCUUCUGUUAUUUGAUAAUUGGGAUGGUAACAGAUUCAUUGAUAGAUUCCCUGAGCUUCAUUCUUUUGUUGUGAAUGACCAAUUCUCAAUUGAGCAAGCAUUGCACAUCAACCCUCCAGAGGAUCUAUUCCAUAGGCCACUCUCCACCCAAACUUUCCAGCAGUUCCAGGGUUCCCAAAACUUUAUGAAUAAUAUUCAGUUUUCUGGCUCCAAAGACAAAUGGUCUUACAUCUGGGGAUCUUCUCAGUCCUCUAUUGCAAAGGUUUACAAAACCUUGAGGGUUAAACCACCUACACCACCUCUCUUCAACCUGUUAUGGAAGAGCUCAGUAAUCCUUUGAUAUAAGAUUUUCUUCUGGUUUCUCCUUCAUGAUAGACUGAAUUCAAGAGAGCUUCUACAAAGAAAAUCCUUGUGGCUACCCAAUUAUGAUUGUGGAAUGUGUGACACUAAAUCCUUGGAAACUGCUUUUCACUUGUUUUGGAACUGCCCUUUUUCUAUUCAAUGUUGGGAGACCUCGAUUCCGCAGAUAUUGAGGAACAACUCAGUUUACACAUAUAUCCAACUAGCGGUGCCCCCCCCCCUCCUGAUUUGGCCCUGGACAUCAUAAUUAUGGCUUCAUGGAAUAUAUGGAUUCAAAGAAACAAUGCAAUGUUCAAAAAUACCACACACAGUGUGGCCUCCUGGAAAAUAUUGCUUAGAAGAGAUCUCCAAAUUCUGGCUCACAGAAGACAACAAAGUAGCAAGACUGCAAGCCUGGAUUAAAGUUAACCUUUAAUUUCUCAUGUUGCCAAAAGGUGGGAUUGGUUGAGUUGUAUUUUCUUUUUUCUGUUUGUACAUACUUUUAUUAUUAAUGAAAAUUUAACCAUACAACUAUUGUUCUAUGAUCAGUGCCUAAAAAAUGUUUGAGGCUAGCAGAAUGUUUGUUUACAUGGUCCUCAUUUUUUUCUGAAAAGGGAUAAUAUGUUUGUAAGAUCGUGAAUGUCACCUAGAGGGGGGUGAAUAGGCGCUUUAAAAUAAUUACGGUUUAGGCUUGAACAAAUGUGGAAUAAAACUAGCGUUUAAUUUGUCAAGCACAAAACCUAAAACAACUAGGCUCACCUGUGUGCACUAACAACUUAUGCUAAGCAAGAUAAACAACUAAGUGAUAGAAAGAUAUAUAACAUGUCAUAUUAUGGCUAUCACAAAGUAAAGUGCAUAAGUAAAGGGCUUGGGUAAGAGAUAACUGAGGCACACGAAGACGAUGAUGUAUCCCGAAAUUCACACCCUUGCGGAUGCUAAUAUCCGUUUGGAGCGGUAUGGAGGCACAAUUGUUGGGGAACGUAGUAAUUUCAAAAAAAUUCCUACGCACACGCAAGAUCAUGGUGAUGCAUAGCAACGAGAGGGAAGAGUGUUGUCCAUGUACCCUCGUAGACCGAAAGCGGAAGCGUUAGAACAACGCGGUUGAUGUAGCCGUACGUCUUCACGGCCCGACCAAUCAAGCACCGAAACUACGGCACCUCCGAGUUCUAGCACACGUUCAGCUCGAUGACGUCCCUCGAACUCCGAUCCAGCCGAGUGUCAAGGGAGAGUUCCGUCAGCACGACAGCGUGGUGACGAUCUUGAUGUUCUACCGUCGCAGGGCUUCGCCUAAGCACCGCUACAAUAUUAUCGAUGAGGACUAUGGUGGAGGGGGGCACCGCACACGGCUAAGAGAUCAAGAGAUCAGUUGUUCUGUCUAUGGGGUGCCCCCCUCCCCGUAUAUAAAGGUGUGGAGGAGGGGGCCGACCAAGGGGGUGGCGCGCCCUAGGGGGGAGUCCAACUCCCACCGGGAGUAGGACUUCCCCCUUUCCUAUUAGGAGAGGGAGAGGGAAGGAAGAGGAAGGAGGGAGGAAGGAAAGGGGGGACCGGGCCCCCUCCCAAUUCGGAUUGGGCUUGGGGGGGCGCCCCCUCCCUUGCUCCUUUCCCCUCCUUUCCACUAAGGCCCAAUAAGGCCCAUAUACCUCCCGGGGGGGUCCGAUAACCUCCCGGAGCUCCGGUAUUGUCCCAAUCUCACCCGGAACCUUUCCGAUGUCCAAAUAUAGUCGUCCAGUAUAUCGAUCUUUAUGUCUCAACCAUUUCGAGACUCCUCGUCAUGUCCGUGAUACACAUCCGGGACUCCAAACAACCUUCGGUACAUCAAAACUCAUAAACUCAUAAUAUAACUGUCAUCGAAACCUUAAGCAUGCGGACCCUACAGGUUCGAGAACUAUGUAGACAUGACUGAGACACGUUUCCGGUCAAUAACCAAUAGAGGAACCUGGAUGUUCAUAUUGGCUCCUACAUAUUCUAUGAAGAUCUUUAUCGGUCAAACCGCAUAACAACAUACGUUGUUCCCUUUGUCAUCGGUAUGUUACUUGCCCGAGAUUCUAUCGUCUGUAUCUCAAUACCUAGUUCAAUCUCGUUACCGGCAAGUCUCUUUACUCGUUAUGUAAUGCAUCAUUCCGUAACUAACUCAUUAGUUACAUUGCUUGCAAGGCUUAUAGUGAUGUGCAUUACCGAGAGGGCCCAGAGAUACCUCUCCGACAAUCGGAGUGACAAAACCUAAUCUCGAAAUACGCCACUCAACAUGUACCUUUGGAGACACCUGUAGAGCUCUUUUAUAAUCACCCAGUUACGUUGUGACGUAUGGUAGCACACAAAGUGUUCCUCCGGUAAACGGGAGUUGCAUAAUCUCAUAGUUGUAGGAACAUGUAUAAGUCAUGAAGAAAGCAAUAGCAACAUACUAAACGAUCAAGUGCUAAGCUAACAGAAUGGGUCAAGCCAAUCACAUCAUUCUCGUAAUGAUGUGAUCCCGUUAAUCAAAUGACAACUCAUGUCUAUGGCUAGGAAACACAACCAUCUUUGAUUCAAUGAGCUAGUCAAGUAGAGGCAUACUAGUGACAUUAUGUUUGUCUAUGUAUUCACACAUGUAUCAAGUUUCCGGUUAAUACAAUUCUAGCAUGAAUAAUAAACAUUUAUCAUGAAAUAAGGAAAUAAAUAAUGACUUAAAUAUUGCCUCUAGGGCAUAUUUCCUUCAGUCUCCCACUUGCACUAGAGUCAAUAAUCUAGUUCACACCGCAAUGUGAUUUAACACUAAUAUUCACAUAUGUAUGUGAUUAAUACCCAUAGUUCACAUCGUCAUGUGAUCAACACCCAAAGGGUUUCUAGAGUCAAUAAUCUAGUUCACAUCCCUAUGUGAUUAACAACCAAAGAGUACUAAGGUAUGAUCAUGUUUUACUCAUGAGAGAAGUUUAGUCAACGGGUCUAUCACAUUCAGAGCCGUAUGUAUUUUGCAAAUAUUCUAUGUCUACAAUGCUCUGUACGAAGCUACUCUAGCUAAUUCCUCCCACUUUCAAUAUGUAUCCAGAUUGAGACUUAGAGUCAUCUGGAUUGGCGUAAAAGCUUGCAUCAUUGUAACCUUUUACGAUGAGCCCUUUUAUCACUUCCAUUAUCGAGAAAUAUUUCCUUAGUCCUCACUAAGGAUAUUCUUGACCGUUGUUCAGUGAUCUACUCUUAGAUCAAAAUUGUACUCCCUUGCCAAACUCAGAACAAAGUAUACAAUAGGUACAUAACAUAGCAUAAUUUAUAGAACCUAUGACUAAGGCAUAGGGAAUGACUUUUCAUUCUCUUUCUAUUUUUUGCCAUGGUCGGGUUUUGAGUCUUACUCAACUUUCACACCUUGCAAUACAGGCAAGAACUCCUUCUUUGACUGAUCCAUUUUGAACUACUUCAAAAACUUAUUAAGGUAUGCACUCAUUGAAAAAUCCUAUCAAGCGUCUUGAUCUAUCUCUAUAGAUCUUGAUGCUCAAUGUGUAAGCAGCUUCACUGAGGUGUUUCAUUGAGAAACUCUUAUUCAAGUAUCCUUUUAUGCUUUCCAAAAAAAUUCUACAUUAUUUCCGAUCAACAAUAUGUUAUUCACAUAUACUUAUCAGAAAUGUUGUAGUGCUCCCACUCACUUUCUUGUAAAUAGAGGCUUCACUGAAGUCCGUAUAAAACUAUAUGCUUUGAUCAACUUAUCAAAGCGUAUAUUCCAACUCCGAGAUGCUUGCACCAGUCCAUAGAUGGAUCGCUGGAGCUUGCACAUUUUGUUAGCACUUUUAGGAUUGACAAAACCUUCUGGUUGCAUCAUAUACAACUCUUCUUUAAGAAAACCAUUAAGGAAUGCAGUUUUGACAUCCAUUUGCCAGGUUUCAUAAAAUAUGGCAAUUGCUAACAUGAUUCGGACAGACUUAAGCAUCGCUACAGUUGAGAAAAUCUCAUUGUAGUUAACACCUUGAACUUGUCGAAAACCUUUUUGCGACAAGUCGAGCUUUGUAGAUAGUAACACUACUAUCAACGUCUAUCUUCCUCUUGAAGAUCCAUUUAUUUAUGGCUUGCCGAUCAUUGGGAAAGUCCACCAAAGUCCACACUUUGUUCUCAUACAUGGAUCCUAUCUCAGAUUUCAUGGCCUCCAGCCAUUUCGCGGAAUCUGGGCUCAUCAUCGCUUCCUCAUAGUUCGUAGGUUUAUCAUGGCCUAGUAACAUGACUUUCAGAACAGGAUUACCAUACCACUCUGGUGUGGACCGUACUCUGGAAGACCUACGAGGUUCUAUAGUAACUUGAUCUGAAGUUUCAUGAUCAUCAUCAUUAGCUUCCUCACUAAUUGGUGUAGGAAUCACUGGAACUGAUUUCAGUGAUGAACUGUUUUCCAAUUCGGGAGAAGGUACUAUUACCUUAUCAAGUUCUACUUUUCUCCCACUCACUUCUUUCGAGAGAAACUUCUUCUCUAGAAAGGGUCCAUUCUUGGCAACGAAUGUCUUGCCUUCGGAUCUGUGAUAGAAGGUGUACCCAACAGUUACUUUUGGGUAUUCUAUGAAGAUGCACUUCUCCGAUUUAGGUUUGAGCUUAUCAGGAUGAAACUUUUUCACCUAAGCAUCCCAACCUCAAACUUUAAGAAACGACAGCUUAGGUUUCUUGCUAAACCAUAGUUCAUAUGGUGUCGUCACAAUGGAUUUAGAUGGUGCCCUUUUAACGUGAAUGCAGCUAUCUCUAAUGCAUAACCCCAAAACGAUAGUGGUAAAUCAGUAAGAGACAUCAUAGAUUGCACCAUAUCCAAUAAAGUGCGGUUACGAUGUUCGGACACACCAUAAUGUUGUGGUGUUCCAGGUGGCAUGAACUGUGAAACUAUUCCACUUUUUUUUAAUUGAAGACCAAACUCAUAACUCAAAUAUUCAUCUCCACGAUCAGAUCGUAGAAACUUUAUUUUCUUGUUACGGUGAUUUUCCACUUCACUCUGAAAUUCUUUGAACCUUUCAACUAUUUCAGACUUAUGUUUCAUCAAGUAGAUAUACCCAUAUCUUCUCAAAUCAUCUGUGAAGGUCAGAAAAUAACGAUACCCGCCACGAGCCUUAAUACUCAUUGGUCUGCAUACAUCAGUAUGUAUUAUUUCCAACAAGUCAGUAGCUCGUUCCAUUGUUCUGGAGAACGGAGUUUUAGUCAUCUUGCCCAAAAGGCACGGUUCGCAAGCAUCAAAUGAUUCAUAACCAAGUGAUUCCGAAAAUCCAUCUUUAUGGAGUUUCUUCAUGCGCUUUACACCGAUAUGACCCAAACGAUAGUGCCACAAAUAAGUUGCACUAUCAUUAUUGACUUUGCAUCUUUUGGCAUCAAUAUUAUGAAUAUGUGUAUCACUACGAUCGAGAUCCAAUAAACUAUUUUCAUUGGGUGUAUGACCAUUGAAGGUUUUAUUCAUGUAAACAAAACAACAAUUAUUCUUUGACUUUAAAUGAAUAAUCGUAUUGCAAUAAACAUGAUCAAAUUAUAUUCAUGCUCAACGCAAAUGCUAAAUAACAUUUAUUUAGGUUUAACACUAAUCCCGAUAGUAUAGGGAGUGUGUGAUGAAUAUCAUAUCAAUCUUGGAACUACUUCCAACACUCAUCGUCACUUCCCCUCAACUAGUCUCAGUUUAUUAUGUAACUCCUGUUUCGAGUUACUAAUCUUAGCAACCCAACAAGUAUCAAAUACUCAGGGGCUACUAUAAACACUAGUAAGGCACACAUCAAUAACCUGUAUAUCAAAUAUGCCCUUGUUCACUUUGCCAUCCUUCUUAUCCACCAAAUAUUCAGGGCAUUUCCGCUUUCAGUGAUCAUUUACUUUGUAGUAGAAGCACUCAAAUUCAGGCUUUGGUCCAGCUUUAGGCUUCUUCACGGGAGUGACAACUUGCUUGUCAUUCUACUUGAAGUUCCCUUUCUUUCCCUUUGCCUUUUCUUGAAACUAGUGUUCUUGUCAAUCAUCAACACUUGAUGCUCUUUCUUGAUUUCUACCUUCGUCGAUUUCAACAUCACAAAGAGCUCGGGAAUUGUUUUCGUCAUCCCUUGCAUACUAUAGUUCUUCACGAAGUUCUAGCAACUUGGUGAUGGUGACUAGAGAACUUUGUCAAUCACUAUCUUAUCUAGAAGAUUAACUCCCACUUGAUUCAAGCGAUUGUAGUACCCAGACAAUCUGAGUACAUGCUCACUGCUUGAGCUAUUCUCCUCCAUCUUUUAGCUAUAGAACUUGUUGGAGACUUCAUAUCUCUUAACUCGGGUAUUUGCUUGAAAUAUUAACUUCAACUCUUGGAACAUCUCAUAUGUUCCAUGAUGUUCAAAACGUCUUUGAAGUCCCGAUUCUAAGCCGUUAAGCAUGGUGCACUAAACUAUUAAGUAGUCAUCAUAUUGAGCUAGCCGAACGUUCAUAAUGUCUGCAUCUGCUCCUGCAAUAGGUAUGUCACCUAGCGGUGCAUCAAGGACAUAACUCUUCUGUGCAGCAAUGAGGACAAUCCUCAUAUCACAGAUCCAAUCCGCAUCAUUGCUACUAACAUCUUUCAACACAGUUUUCUCUAGGAACAUAUCAAAAUAAACAUAGGGAAGCAACAACGCGAGCUAUUGAUCUACAACAUAAUUUGCAAAAUACUACCAGGACUAAGUUCAAGAUAAAUUUAAGUUCAAUUAAUCAUAUUACUAAAGAACUCCCACUUAGACAGACGUCUCUGUAGUCAUCUAAGUGAUCACGUGAUCCAAAUCAACUAAACCAUGUCCGAUCAUCACGUGAGAUGGAGUAGUUUUCAAUGGUGAACAUCACUAUGUUGAUCAUAUCUACUAUAUGAUUCACGUUCGACCUUUCGGUGUCCGUGUUCCGAGGCCAUAUCUGUAUAUGCUAGGCUCGUCAAGUUUAACCUAAGUAUUCUGCGUGUGCAACACUUUUGCACCCGUUGUAUUUGAACAUAGAGCCUAUCACACCCGAUCAUCACGUGGUGUCUCAGCAUGAAGAACUUUCACAAUGGUGCAUACUCAGGGAGAACACUUCUUGAUAAUUAGUGAGAGAUCAUCUUAUAAUGCUACCGUCAAUCAAAGCAAAAUAAGAUGCAUAAAGGAUAAACAUCACAUGCAAUCAAUAUAAGUGAUAUGAUAUGGCCAUCAUCAUCUUGUGCUUGUGAUCUCCAUCUCCGAAGCACCGUCGUGAUCACCAUCGUCACCGGCGCGACACCUUGAUCUCCAUCGUAGCAUCAUUGUCGUUUCGCCAUAUAUUGCUUCUAUGACUAUCGCUACCGCUUAGUGAUAAAGUAAAGCAAUUACAGGGCGCUUGCAUUUCAUACAAUAAAGCGACAAGCAUAUGGCUCCUGCCAGUUGCCGAUAACUCGGUUACAAAACAUGAUCAUCUCAUACAAUAAAAUAUAGCAUCAUGUCUUGACCAUAUCACAUCACAACAUGCCCUGAAAAAACAAGUUAGACGUCCUCUACUUUGUUGUUGCAAAUUUUACGUGGCUGCUACGGGCUGAGCAAGAACUGUUCUUACCUACGCAUCAAAACCACAACUAUAGUUUGUCAAGUUAGUGUUGUUUUAACCUACGCAAGGACCGGGCGUAGCCACACUCGGUUCAACUAAAGUUGGAGAAACUGACACCCGCCAGCCACCUGUGUGCAAAGCACGUCGAGAGAACCAGUCUCGCGUAAGUGUACGCGUAAUGUCGCUCCGGGCCACUUCAUCCAACAAUACCGCCGAACCAAAGUAUGACAUGCUGGUAAGCAGUAUGACUUGUAUCGCCCACAACUCACUUGUGUUCUACUCGUGCAUAUAACAUCUACGCAUAAAACCAGGCUCUGAUGCCACUGUUGGGGAACGUAGUAAUUUCAAAAAAUAUCCUACGCACAUGCAAGAUCAUGGUGAUGCAUAGCAACGAGAGGGAAGAGUGUUGUCCACGUACCCUCGUAGACCGAAAGCGGAAGCGUUAGAACAAUGCGGUUGAUGUAGUCGUACGUCUUCACAGCCCGACCGAUCAAGCACCGAAACUACUGCACCUCCGAGUUCAAGCACACGUUCAGCUCGAUGACGUCCCUCGAACUCCGAUCCAGCCGAGUGUCAAGGGAGAGUUCCGCCAGCACGACGGCGUGGUGAAGAUCUUGAUGUUCUACCCUCGCAGGGCUUCGCUUAAGCACCGCUACAAUAUUAUCGAGGAGGACUAUGGUGGAGGGGGGCACCGCACACGGCUAAGAGAUCAAGAGAUCAAUUGUUGUAUCUAUGGGGUGCCCCCCUCCCCCGUAUAUAAAGGAGUGGAGGAGGGGGCCGGCCAAGGGGGGUGGCGCACCCUAGGGGGAGUCCAACUCCCACCGGGAGUAGGACUUCCCCCUUUCCUAUUAGGAGAGGGAGAGGGAAGGAAGAGGAAGGAGGGAGGAAGGAAAGGGGGGCCGGCCCCCUCCCAAUUCAGAUUGGGCUUGGGGGGGGUGCCCCCUCCCUUGCUCCUUUCCCCUCCUUUCCACUAAGGCCCAAUAAGGCCCAUAUACUUCCCGGGGGGUUCCGAUAACCUCCCGGAGCUCCGGUAUUGUCCCAAUCUCACCCGGAACCUUUCCGGUGUCCAAAUAUAGUCGUCCAAUAUAUUGAUCUUUAUGUCUCGACCAUUUCAAGACUCCUCGUGAUGUCUGUGAUCACAUCCGGGACUCCGAACAACCUUCGGUACAUCAAAACUCAUAAACUCAUAAUAUAACUGUCAUCGAAACCUUAAGCGUGCGGACCCUACGGGUUCGAGAACUAUGUAGACAUGACCGAGACACGUUUCUGGUCAAUAACCAAUAGCGGAACCUGGAUGUUCAUAUUGGCUCCUACAUAUUCUAUGAAGAUCUUUAUCGGUCAAACUUCAUAACAACAUACGUUGUUCCCUUUGUCAUCGGUAUGUUACUUGCCCGAGAUUCGAUCGUCGGUAUCUCAAUACCUAGUUCAAUCUCAUUACCGGCAAGUCUCUUUACUCGUUAUGUAAUGCAUCAUUCUGUAACUAACUCAUUAGUUACAUUGCUUGCAAGGCUUAUAGCGAUGUGCAUUACCGAGAGGGCCCAGAGAUACUUCUCUGACAAUUGGAGUGCCAAAACGUAAUCUCGAAAUACGCCAACUCAACAUGUACCUUUGGAGACACAUGUAGAGCUCCUUUAUAAUCACCAAGUUACGUUGUGACGUUUGGUAGCACAGAAAGUGUUCCUCCGGUAAACGGGAGUUGCAUAAUCUCAUAGUUGUAGGAACAUGUAUAAGUCAUGAAGAAAGCAAUAGCAACAUACUAAACGAUCAAGUGCUAAGCUAAUAGAAUGGGUCAAGUCAAUCACAUCAUUCUCCUAAUGAUGUGAUCCCAUUAAUCAAAUGACAACUCAUGUCUAUGGCUAGGAAACACAACCAUCUUUGAUUCAAUGAGCUAGUCAAGUAGAGGCAUACUAGUGACAUUAUGUUUGUCUAUGUAUUCACACAUGUAUCAAGUUUCCGGUUAAUACAAUUCUAGCGUGAAUAAUAAACAUUUAUCAUGAAAUAAGGAAAUAAAUAAUAACUUUAUUAUUGCCUCUAGGGCAUAUUUCCUUCAAAAAUGCCCCCCAGGAAACCACUAGGGCCACCGUAAUCUCCUCAUGCCCUUGCACAAUGCAAGAUGCCAUGAUUCCACUAAGGGACCCUUGAGGGCAGUUAUCGAACCCGUACAAAUGGCAACCCUAGGGGGAGGUCACCGAACCCGUACACUUUGGCAACCCUUGGGGCGGUCACUGGAACCCGUACAAAUUCCUCGGUGCAAUCUCCACAACCUAAUUGGAGACCCCGACGCUUGCCCGGAGCUUUACACCACAAUGAUUGAGCUCCGAGACACCACAAACCAUCUAGGACGCCCAAGCACCCAAGAGGAACAAGCUCUAGGGUACCAAGCACCCAAGAGUAAUAAGCUUCUCAACUUUUCACUUCCACGUAUCAACAUGGAGAACUCAAAUUGAUGCAACUAGUGCAAAGGCAAGGGCACACGAAGUGCCCAAGUCCCUCACUCUCAAAUCCCAUCAAAGCAACAAAAGCUAUGAAGGAAAAUGGGAGGAAGAACAAGAAGGAGAACACCAAGAACUCCAAGAUCUGGAUCCAAGGGGUUCCCCUCACAUAGAGGAGAAAGUGAUUGAGGAAAUGUGGAUCUAGAUCUCCUCUCUCUCUUUCCCCCCAGAAAAUAGCAAGAAUCCAUUGAUUAAUUGAGAGAUAGCCAGCUCGAAGAAGUUCAACAAUGGGGGAAGAACACGAGCUCAAAGGAUAAGAUGCAAUGGGGAAGAAGACCCCCUUUUAUAGGCCUCUCCAAAUCCAACUGUUAUGCACACAGCCCAUGCACAAGCGGUAGUACCGCUCGGGCGAGCGGUACUUCCACUGGCAUGGUAGUUUCAUCCAUAAUGAGCAACUAAGAAACUCAAGGAGGCGGUAGUGCUACCGAAGCGGUACUACCGCUCCCAUACUACCGCUAGGCGUUGCGUGUAUAGGUGAAACACCGAUAGUAUAGUAGAGCAGCGCGGUACUACCACCCACUACUGCCGCUCUACUUCCGCACAGAGGAAAAUGUAUCCAGAGGCUAAAAUAUAAUCGGAAGUAGCAGCGGUAGUGAAGGGACCGUGGUACCGCUUAUAAGCGGUACUACCGCCCACUAUUGCUGCUCUACUUCCGCUUGAAGGAAUACAAAGAGCAAAACAUAAGCGGUACUCCAUGCGGUAGCUCAUAGUGUAAGUACCGCAUAAGCGGUACUACCGUGGAGCUGGCCGGAACUACCGCUUGGGAGCUAAAAACUGCCCAAGCACAAAAGGAUGCAAGCGAGACCGAAACUGCCAUAACUUCUGCAAAUGAACUCUGAAUUGAGCAAACUCAAGCUUGUUGGAUAGAUGACGACAAAUAGUAAGAAGUGGCAGGGCAAGUAUGCCUAUUAUAUAUAGGAAUGAAACCUCUAUCAGUGAAGAACCAUCAUAUACUCCCACAUCAAAAACAUCAUAGAGGAUGCACAUGAACUCUGUUUCGAAGAACUCGAGCUUGUCAUGAAGAUGACCAUAAGCUAUAAAACUCACAAAGAGAAACACCAAAUAAGAACCAAGAAAGAUGAUGCAAGGAUGCAAUGGUUUGAGCUCUCUACGAACGAUAUGAUCAAGCUACUAACUUGAGAGCCCCCCCUUGAUAGUAUGACAAUCGAUCAUAUAACCCGGUCUCCCAACUACCACCAUGAGACCGGUAAAAUAGAAAACCUAUCAAGGGCAAACCUUUGCCUUGCACAUAGUCCACUUGAGAUAGAUGAUGACGAUCUUGACUUCCACAAGUUGGACCAUGAUAACCCACAAGUAUAGGGGAUUACAGUAGUUUUCGAGGGUAGAGUCACUACUAGGAAAAGGCCUGCUAGUGGCGCACCUGUUUUGGCUACUAAUGGCGCACUACAGGUUCGCCAGUAGCAUCACGCCAUUAGUAAUUAAUACUAAUGGCGCACCCCUGGUGCGCCAUUAGUAUACCAGAUACUAAUGGCGCACCAGAGAGUGUGCCAUUAAUAUAUCACACGGUGCGCCAUUAGUAUGCCUCCCAGGGGGCCAUAUUUACCCAUGUGCUCUGGCUUACUAAUGGCGCACUUGUAGAUGAUGUGCCACUAGUGUGCUUGUUGCAGUGCGCCACUAAAGUGCAGAGUGGUGUGCCACUAGUAUGAAUAUUAGGGAUUUUUUUUCUUUUCUGAUAUUUGCACAUGUUACAAAACAUAUUACUGCACAGAAUAUAGACAACACAACAUAUAAACAGCAGAUUUAUCGAAUACAAUAGAAGAUUAGUCUCCAAAUACAAUUCAUCAUAUUAGUCUCCGAAUUUAAAAUACCAAACAAAGUUAGAACAUUACAAGUCUCGAGACUGCGAGUAGCGGGUUUGUCUUCACAUUACAAGUCGAUAUCGAUCAUCUAAACUACCAUCACAUAGAAGAGAGCUGCGGUCAUCACGAUGAGCAUCAUCACGAUGAAACUGGUCUUCAACCGGUUCCUCCAACGCUCCCUCCUCUCUCCCGCUAGAUAGCGUGUGUAUCUAACUUCCACCUCCGCCCUAGUGGUGUACCCUUUGUAACUGUUAUCGCUGAAACAGUGAACCUGUCUCCAACACUCCUCCCAGUCGUCGUAGACUCCGGGAACCUUACCCUUGUACACAACAUACGAUGACAUAUCUAUGCACUAGCUAAACAAAAUGUUAGUAGCAAUUCACAGACAAUACAUAAGCAAUAUAUAAGUAUGCAACAAAAGGAUCGGAAGAGAAAAGCAACACAUUAAUAGCACGAUUCAUGGUCCUACUAAUAAAUAGCAUCGAUUACAUAUAAGUUGAACGACUAUCCAAACCAAAGAGACAUACAAGUUCAUUAAAGUUUAAUAUUACAACAUGAGCCAAUCGACAUUUCAGAACUACAUAGCAUCACUACUUUCGACUCGACUCAGGGACCGGAGGGUGGAUGAAGCCGCCGUCUUUCGUGAUGGUCAUGAAAUUGCGGGCGUUGUCAGCCUGCAUUUGUAGCAUUGUUUCUAUCUCACUGUUGGACAGUUGAUAUCUGAGGUAGAACUGCCCCGAGGUACGAAGGACAUCUUGAUGGAUGAUUUUCGCAAACUCCGACUGGAUGCGAUAGAAUUCUUGUCUGAUGUCUGCGUCCUGGAUUGCCGACAAGCGUGUGGCCCCGUACGAUCGCCCACAUGUGAUGGAGGGCAUAGUAGGCAUCCUUUUGACUUCCAGGCGGCUGAUUGACGUAGAGGAACAUCGUAUUGUGGGUGAACAUGUGCUUGCCGUACCUACGAAUUGUCCUGGUGAAGGUGCCUCCAGAUCUGGCGUAGCCGGGAAGAACAUCAUCAAGAACUUUCUUGAUAUUUGUGUAGUCUUUCUUCGACUGACGGUCUGAGUCGAAAUACAUGGCCAUGGAAUAUUUCAGGCUUAAGAGGAUGAGUGUGCAACAUGUGUCACUGCACAAAACACGGAAUGUUAGAAAAAAAAGAACGAUCAAAAUCUAAGAAAUCAUAUGUUACGGGGCGGUGAGGGGAUGACUUACUCGGGAAAGUAAGGCACGAGGAAGUUAUCCUUAUCUGGGUUUGCCAGAAUGACGCCUUCGAGGUGUGAACUCGCGACUUGCCGGUCCCCAGCGCUGCCCAAGAUCUUGGCACGCAUGUAGAAGGGGUCGACUAUCACGAUGUCCGGGGUCUUGUAUCUAAUAAUCCGCAUCUCCAUACUCAGCGAAAAUAGCCGAAUGAAGGUGUAGUGCAGCGGAUGAAGGUUAAACAUAGUGAAGAUGUCAUCAAACCACAGGACGAUUGUACCCCCGAUGGCGCUAUCCACAAAGCCCUUGCCCUCUGGCACCUUGGCCACAAAAAUCGGGUAUGCCACAUCAUUCUCGAAAAGACGCUGCUUCUCCAAAGAAAGAACACUGUCAUGCAGACUCUGCAUAGCACCGGUUGCAGCAUUGAGCAGAUUAGUCGGUAGCAUCGGCCUACCCGCCACAUGCACCCUCCUCGAGAUAUCCUUAGGUGAAGGUGGCCCGUCCUGAGAACGGAUCGUACUCGGUGCCGGCUGGCUCGCACCGCCCUUGUUAUUCUUUUGUUUCCGUCCCAUCUUCUUCUGAUGUAAUGGGAUCGAGUUCUGCUCAGAGACCGCCUUCUUGAGUGUGUUGGGGCUGAUAAUAUUUCGCACCUCAACUAUCUGAGGCUCGGUGAAGGCGGCAGCUGGAGGUGUCUCCUGAGAACUAAACGCCAGAUGACGCCUGUUGCAAUUGGGUUUCUCCGUGGUACCAGCUAGACUGCGGUCGUCUUUUGCAGGGUUGGGUUCUUGAGAAGGAGGCCCCAAGAAUUCGUCACUAUACCCAUGUUCGGCAAAGUACUUAUCAACGUUGGUAAAUGUAUCGUCGUUGUCAUCGUCGUCGUUUGGAUCCUGUGCCAUAUGCAUGUCCGGCAUGUCCAGUAGCGUUGCGGCGGUCUUGCCAUGGCUUGGCACCGGCACGACUAGCGGUGUUGUCCGUGGGGUGCUGUCCCCCGCCCCCAAACGAAUUUGGCUCUUCAGCCAAAGCAGGGGCCAGCUUACGCAGGCGCUGAGGGUCAUCAAAUCAUCUUCGUCGGCCCCAGUGGGUCGAAUCAGAGGUAAAAACUCGUCGUAGCCUGGCAGCACCCGAACCAGUUCAACCAUAUACACGGUGGGUGGCAUCGGAUUACCGUGGAACACGGGGUUGCCCGGUUGAACGAUUCUGCCCUUGGCAACAUCGAUCAACUCGCCGCCCACGAAGUGCAGGAGAGUGCAUGGAAUGUCGGCGGCACCCUGUGAAAACAUGUAGGGCGUCAGGGAUGCCCAGUCAAAGGCAAGGAGAUGAAGUCAUCGGCCGAGAGGCUUAGUUACCGUGAUGGCGUCGAUCUCGGCUAAUGUCGAGGCACCGCCAAUGGCGGGCAUGCAACUGACGGAGGGGCCGCUUGCUGCCGAGGUGCCGGCCGGCGUACACCCGGGUGCAUUAAGCUCCAAUGCCCGUGCCGGCGCCGGAGACACCAAUACCGCCUCCGCCAGAGACACCAAUGGCGCCACCUGCGCGUUGUGCGCGUUGCUGGCCGUGAAGCUGGGAACCGGGGGCGGCCCCUGUUGGCCGCCCACAAUCCACGCCUGCAGCCCCUCAAUCAAGGUAGGCACAAUGGCGGUGAGCGUCGUUCCCAGUUGGUGUUGCACUAGCUCUUGGACCAUCUCCGGAAUCCGCACCACUUGUGCCUUGAGUUCUUGAACCUUGCGCGACUGGCUUUCUGAGCUGGUCUUUCUCUCCUUUCGCCCACCUGCGUUAUAGUAUGACGACCAUUUUGUGGACAAGCCUUUGUCGGCCACACGACCAGCUGAUGACGGCUUACUGAACUUAUCCUUGUUUUUCAUUAUGUUGAACGCCCUAUUUAAAGUGUUGUCCCAAGGGGAGCUCUGAGACGACCCCGCGCUACUGCUUUCAGUCUCCCGCGGAAGGAAUGUGAACCAUUUAGAAAUUUGGCUUCAUUAAUUAGAAUGCAACCAUAUGGAGCUAAUUACGCGGGGGUGUAUUCCUUACCAGAACACGCUCAAGCGCCUUGGUCUUCGCAUCCGUGGUAAGCUCCUUUGUUACUGGGUCCUCCUUGUACCGGUCCCUGACAUAGUUCCUGGUCUGCUUGUCACAGUAUUUCUCGAAGCGGGGCGGUAGGCCUUGCUCGGCACGCUCCGCAUCCUCCUUGUCCCAUAUAAGUUCCGCCACUCUGUAACCGCCGGGACCGAGUUGGUGGACCCCUAAAUUCAAGUCCCGCAUUUCUUUCCUCCACUGACUUGAUUCCACGGUCGUGCUUCUCUCACACUUGAUCUUGAACUCCUUGUAGUCAUCUUCGUUGAUCGAAGGAUUUUUCGCCUUGAUCUUCUCAUAACUAUCACCUUUGUCAAUCAUUCUCUUCACCGCGCUUCUCCAAGUAGACAGGGCCGUGCUCAUCUUCAUGAGGGCGGCACUGUUCACUUUAUUCCCUGAGAGGCGUUUGUUUGCAAAAUCAGCGGGGAACUUGUAUCGUUCGUGUAGCUUCAUGAAGAGGAGGCUGCGCAAAUUCCCUCGGUCAGGAUGCCUUAGGUUCUCGGUGUUGAUCGAGACGGUGCUCCGAAGAAUGCACCCGAGCUGAACCGAGUACCCCUUGACUAAUUCUUUGGGCACCGUUGGAUGCCCGUCGGAGGACACUUCAGUAAAUUCCUCCUUGACGGUGCCGAGCAUGUUCGGGCGCCGGUCCUUCUGUUGCCUCUUUGGUUGGCUGCCAUCUGUGUGUGCGCUGCCAUCAUCAGUGGUGGCAUCCUCGGCGGCACCAUCAGUGGUGUCAUCCCCGACGCCACUAGGGGUUGUGUAGUCAGGAUCGGUGUCUUCCGCGGCAUCCUCAUAGCGGUGAGGUUCUUCCUCCAUCUCUUGGGACAGCUCACAGAAUUGCUUGCCCGAACCGCCGGCCUCAUCGUUGUGGGCCAUGUUUUGCUCUAAAUAGGAAAGAAGUUUGGUCAAAAAGUUGGUUAUUGUCAAGGAACAAGAUCAUGGUCUCAUCAUUUAGGAUUUAUCGACAUCGAGGCAUCCUAAAAGCUAAGCUUUUAUCGUUUAGGGUUUGUCGACGCCGUGGCACCCUAAAAGCCUAAGCUUUCAUCAUUUAAGUUUUUAUCGACACCGAGGCACCCUAAAAGCCAAGGUUUUAUAAUUUAGGGUUUGUCGACGCUGAGGCACCCUAAAUGCUAAGUUAAGUUUUCAUCAUUUAGGGUUUAUCGAUGCCGAGGCACCCUAGGUUGACUGAUAUAUAUGGGUAUCUUCUAAUAAUAUACCCUAUCAAGAAAAGGGAAGGAUAAUUCUAAGUUGGGCCAAAUCACUUGGCUCUAUUACCACCUAUGGUUUAAUGCAGCAAGAAUAAAGGGGCAGUUGAUCCUACUUAAUUAAGUACUAAGAUACCCCGACCCAUGCAUUAGUCGCAAGUACCCCAUAUGUCCUAUUUUUAGCAAAGUCAUGCUAAAAUUCACGGAAAAUUUCAGCAUGACCUUUGCUGAAAAUAGGACAUAUGGAGUACCCAAAUUUGCCGGAACGGAAGUUAAUCGACAUUCCGGCAAACUCAAGGGCCUCUCAGGGUACCUGCAAAAUCAUUAUCCCCGCGUAAUGAAGUAGCCAAUGGGUCAUUUCAAAAUAUCACAAGUAGCAUCAUCACAAGUACAACAUCAUCACAAGUACAGCAGCAGUAGCAGUGAAUACAGGCAUAACAGCAGCAGCAACAGGUUUAUUCUUCUUCUUCAUAAACACUAGUUGUCUAAUUGAGCAAUACAGCGACAGUGUGAACAAAUAAAAACACAAACUACACCUACAUAUUUGGGUACCUCUAUGGUAGUAACAUGCCAUGCUCUGCCUAGAGCUACUGCAGCAAUCAUUGUUAUACAUUUCUCUGAAUAGUAUAUAUGGCUUGAAAUGGCAGAACAGGUUACAGUAAUUAGAUGAAUGAAAUGCAUAAGUGUCGAAUCAAAACAAUAUAAAAAAUACCAUGUUCCCUAUGCUGUUUUGAUACACGAUAUGGGUGAAGUGACAUGACACUUCCAAAAACAAGGAUACAACAAUCACUGGUCCCAAAUGAUAAUACAAGGUGGUGUAGAUCUCUAAGGAGCGGCAUUAAAAGGGAAGGGCAUGCGGCAAGAUGCCAUCAAGCUCCCAGCAACAAUGGUCGGGGAGCAUGUCCACAUUAUGCAUGAGAGGAAGGCUUGUAUACAUUAUAAAGUAUGUUUUAAAUAUUUAAACAUCGACAUGAUUCAGAUACUGAGAAAAAUAGAAUGGAAUCAUUGUUAUAGGAUGCAACAGCUAUGACAACUCACUGAAGUAUCAGGGAAAUCUUUACCUAGCAACACAAGUUAAUAGGCUGAUAUUUUCUCCAUAUUUUUAUUGAAAAGGAAGUUCAAACCUCCUGGCAGUCACAAGUGACAGGAGCUGUGCCUACCACUAGGAUGACCACUUUAAUUUUUUUGCUUCUUUUUUUGAGAUAGAAGCACUUUCAGUCUCAGAAACAAAGAUCACACAGCUUUAUAAAAUCAACUUUACAGGAAGUAUUCGUGUAAGGAAACAUUAAUAAGUAUCUAAGUGUUUUUAGUUCAUUUUAUACAAAAGACAAACAACAACCCUUUUCUUUUGCAUCGGAAGAAAAUUCUAGUACUAUGUGAUAAGCUUUAGAAAAUGGAGUACUUACAGCAACUAUGCAGGCAAUCAAUCCAGGCUUCUCCCGGUGAUCCAAAGAAACAAAGAAUAGAAGAAAAGCACCAAUAUACCAGAGAAUUGCAGCCAAGAAGAACCCUAGUAAGAACCUUCAAAACAAAACCAACCUAAAGUCUUUAAUAUGGAUUGAUUGUGCUUUCAUUUUAAAUUUGCAGGUAAGAACAAUGAACUUAUAGAAACUCCUUAAUAUGAAUAUUAUACCGAUGAUAAAAGAUGUCAGAUUACUAGUAGAUAGCAAAGCAGUAGACAACACACUCAGAAGUAACCAUGCCAGUUUAGGAUAAUCCUCUGCUGAUGCAUCAACUUAUAUCCUAAUCCAAUUCCAGUACCAUUUGAUCGCACCAUAUAUUAUAAAUAUGGCCAUGGGCCCUUACCAACCUGACCAAUACGAGUACUAGCACCUCACAAAUUCUCACUAGCAAGCAUAUCUUCCAAAUGCUGCUCGCCGAACUUGUUAAUGAAACAGUUACUCAUGCAAUCCCCCAUUCACAUACCAAGUACUCAUACAGUCGUACUGAACCAAGUGCUCAUGUUGUUACCUUCUUCAAGAGCUUCCUAAUUUUGCCACACCGAUCACAUUGGAGACAAACACCACCAAAAUGAAGGACACUUACAAAGCCCAGCCAACGCCGACGCCAUAGAACGGCAGUCGCGGCUCCCGGACUGGGAGGCCCUCCACCAAGACCUGCUGUUGGAUAGUGCACGGGAAAGCAACAACGCCCUGAGCAGGAAAGUGCUGCUGGAUAGUGCAGAGGCAGGGAAGUGUUAGUACCUGUAGAGAAACCUAGGGGGAAGGAGGGGAGGAGAGAGGAGGAAUCACCUAGAGGAGAACGGCAGGCAGCUGUAGGAGGACGCUGGCGUCGAGGAGGCUGCGGGCGGUGGCGCGUCGAGGAGGCGGCACGUUCUUGCUUCCCCAAGGACCGAGACGGCGAGGCGGGCCGGUGGCAGCGUUGGAACCCUAGCGUUGUUCGGUCGGAGCACCUCGUCGGAGAGGGCGCGACGGUCAUCAGAGCGAGCGAGAGGGUCGUCAGAGCGGGUGUGGAGCGGGCGCAGGGAUCAUCGGAGCGGGUGUGGCGAGGGAGGGAAGGGGGAUCUGGCGAGGGAGGGACGAAGGGGGAUCGGGCGAAGGGGGGAUUAGCUAGAGGGGGGAAGGUUAGUAAUGGCGCACCCCCUAGCGGUGCGCCAUUAGUAAUCUUUUUUUGGAUAGCGAUGUCGCACCUCCUGGCAGUGCACCAUUAGUAAUCUUUUUUUGGAUAGNNNNNNNNNNNNNNNNNNNNNNNNNNNNNNNNNNNNNNNNNNNNNNNNNNNNNNNNNNNNNNNNNNNNNNNNNNNNNNNNNNNNNNNNNNNNNNNNNNNNNNNNNNNNNNNNNNNNNNNNNNNNNNNNNNNNNNNNNNNNNNNNNNNNNNNNNNNNNNNNNNNNNNNNNNNNNNNNNNNNNNNNNNNNNNNNNNNNNNNNNNNNNNNNNNNNNNNNNNNNNNNNNNNNNNNNNNNNNNNNNNNNNNNNNNNNNNNNNNNNNNNNNNNNNNNNNNNNNNNNNNNNNNNNNNNNNNNNNNNNNNNNNNNNNNNNNNNNNNNNNNNNNNNNNNNNNNNNNNNNNNNNNNNNNNNNNNNNNNNNNNNNNNNNNNNNNNNNNNNNNNNNNNNNNNNNNNNNNNNNNNNNNNNNNNNNNNNNNNNNNNNNNNNNNNNNNNNNNNNNNNNNNNNNGCGGUGGAGCGGGGAAGGGUGCGGGGGGUCGGCAGCGGCGGUGGAGCGGGGGAGGGUGCGGGGGGUCGGCGGCGGCGAGGAGGAUCUGAUGAGGGGGGGUAGCGAUCGAGAUGGAGGGGGAUCUGGCACGGGGGGUGCGCCAUAAGUAACUUUUUUAUUAUUACUUUUAGUUGCGUCUAAUAUUUUUUUAGAAAAUGACGAUCAAAUUUGAAAAAAAUUAUGAAUGUGAAAAAAUAUGAUCAAAUUUGUUAUUUGAAAAUAUUUAUGAAUAUAAAAAAAUAUCAUCAAAUUUGUUAUUUGAAAAAAUCAUCAAAUUUGUUAUUUAAAAAUAUCAUCAAUAUUUUUUUUGGAUUUUUAGUUGCAUUCAUUUGUGAAUUGGUAAAACAUUUAUGAAUAUGAAAAAAUAUCAUCAAAUUUGAAAAAAUAUUCAUGAAUUCAAAAAGUGCCCAUGAAAUUUAAAAAUAUUCAUGAGUUCAAAAAAUAUUAACAAAUUCAAUACUUUUUGUGAGUUAGAAAUUCAAUACCAUAAUAAACAUAAAUAAAUAUUCAUGAGGACACUAGAACGGAAGAAAUAUCAUUUCAAUAUCUCGAAAUACAAUCGAGAAAUGAAGGCUACAAUUUACAUACAAUCGAUCUUAGCUAGCUAUAUGUUCACAAUCUACUUUCCCUUAUUUUUCGCAAAUGGAGUUCUUCUCUUGAACGGACGCCCUUUAGGUAAGGUGGUCCUGCUUCUUCUUGUGGUGUAUGCUGGUACUUCAUCAUCGUCGUCAUGUUCCAUCUUCGGGUGGCCGUACUUGUCGAAGUCUUGCUCAUUGGCGACUCCAUCCAUUUCGAUGAUCUUCCUUUUGCCUCUCCUCACGACGACACGACUGGGCUUUGACGGGUAGGUAAUGAAGAAGCAUUGGUCCACUUGGGAAGCUAGUACCCGUGGCUCAUUUUUCGCGGUGACGUUUGCGCCCGCGGUCUUGGAUUUGGCUUCGGGUAUAACCAUGGUGGUGAAAUACCGAUCUUCUUUUAGGAAGCUCUUGGCCCAUCUGACAGGGAACAUCAGGACCUUCUCUCCAGCGUAGCUCAGCUCCCAGAUCUCCUCGAUCCUUCCGUAGUAUCUGUCCUUGUCGUUACCGGUGUAGGAUUCCAUUGUUACCCCGGAGUUCUGAUAACCAUCGCUCUUCAUGUCCUUUCCCUCGGUGUAGAAUGUGUAGCCAUUGAUAUCGUACGCCUCAUACGUCAUCAGAUUGUGCUCGGCGCCCUAUGACAAGGUGAAUAUGAGUUGUUCUUCCGCGGAAGAAUCCUCAUGUAAAGGGUACGACAGAAGCUUCUGCUUGAACCAACGCGUGAAACAUGAGUUGUGCUCUUUGAUUAUAUCUCCGUUCAUCCUCUGUUGGCCUCAGUCAUUGUACGUCUUCUCAAUAAAGGUUUUGUGCUCUACCACCCAAGGAUCGACCAUGUCUAUGUGUUGUAGCGCGACUAGGUUUGCUCUUUCAAAGUCGGCGAGUCGACCCUCGAAGUCGAGAUGCAUUUCACGGCGACCAUCACGGUGACCCCAUCCAGCGAGCCUGCUGAGGUGCCUGUUGAUGGGAAGACCAACGGUGUUCUCGAUGCCUAGAUAAUUCGUGCAGUAGGAGAUGCACUCUUCGGUCAGAAAGCCCCUGGCCAUGCUUCCCUCUGGACGUGACAUGUUGCGAACGUAUCCUUUGAUGACACCAUUCAUCCUUUCGAACAACAUCAUGCUGUGCAGGAACGUCGGCCCGAGUUGGAUGAUAUCCUCCAUGAUAUGGACCAGCAGAUGCACCAUAACGUCGAAGAAUGCGGGCGGGAAGUACAUCUCAAGCUCGCAUAGUAUCACCAUGAUCUCUUCAUGUAGCCUUCUGAGUUGCCUCACGCCAACCGACUACUGAGAGAUGACGUCGAAAAAGUUGCAUAGGACAAAUAGCGUUUCACGGACGUGCGCGUCCAUGAUCCCACGGAUUGCAACUGGAAGUAUCUGCAUCAUCAGCACGUUACAGUCGUGAGACUUCAUCCUGCUGAACUUCUACUUCGCUGAGUCUAGGUAUCUGCUUAUCUUCCCCGCGUAACCGUAAGGAAGUUUUACUCCUACGAGGCAGGUGAAAAACUGAUUGAUCUCCUCCUGACUUAGAGUGAAGCAUGCGGGAGGGAAGUCAUUUCCGGUCUUCUUGGCCUUUUUGCCUUUGCGACGACUUUCCGUGUCCUGCUUCGCCUCAUCAUCAUCAUCAUUAGCGUGAAGCUCCUCCCUGAUGCCCAUUGAUUUCAAGUCUGCCCUUGCUUUCGGCCCAUCUUUGGUCCUCUCUGGCAUGAGCAGGGUACCAAGCAGACUCUUACACACGUUCUUCGUGAUAUGCAUGACAUCAAGGCUGUGAGGCACACGGUGGAUCUUCCAGUACAGCAAGUCCCAGAAAACAGACCUCGUUUUCCAUACCUUCAGCAGCGGCUCUGGUGCCUUUCGCUUCUUUCCCAGCUCUGGCGCCUUUUGCUUCUUUCCCAGCAGUGGGCAAUCUUUCCAAUUUUUCAAUAGCUCGUCUAUUUCCUUGCCACUCCUCGUACGCGGGCGUCUUCGGGGUUCGGUUUCACCAUCGAACAUAUCCUUGCGUUUCCUCCAUGAGUCAUCAUCGCAAAGCCACCUUCGAUGUCCCAUGAACACGGUUUUUGAAGACCCGGGAUUUCUAUCUAGCUGGCGAUACGUUGUGUCAUCCAUGCACCUGACGCAUCCAGAAAAUCCGUGGACCACCUUCCCCGCGACAUAUCCGUAACCGAGAUAGUCCUGCACCGUCGUGAGCAGUGCGACUCUCAUAGGGAAAUAUUCUUUCUCUGCGGCGUCCCACAUAUUGGCUGGCGUUUUCCAUAGCGUGUCUAGCUCCUCUUUCAGCAGCCCCAUAUACAGAUUGAUGCCAUUCCCUGGUUGUUUCGGCCCUUCAAUUAGCAUACUCAUGUGAAUGUACUUCCUCUUCAUGCACAACCAGGGGGGAAGGUUGUAUAUCCACACAAACACAGGCCAGGUGCUAUGUGUGCUUCUCUGGCUGCCAAACGGAUUGACUCCAUCGGUGAUCGCGCCCAGUAUGAUGUUCCUUGGAUCGUUCCCAAAUUCUGGGUGUUCGAAGUUCAACGCUUGCCGCUGGCUCGCAUCCUUAGGGUGACUCAGCAUCUUGUCUUUUUUAUUUAUCUCUGGAUCAUUUGCGUCAUCUUCUCACUUCUUCUCCUCCCUAUCCGCGUGCCAACGCAGGAGCUUUGCUACCUUAGGGUCCGCGAAAUACCGCUGCAGACGAGGAGUGAUCGGAAAGUACCACACCACUUUUCAAGGAGCUUUCUUCCUCUUCUUGUAUCGAGUGACGCCGCACACCGGUCAUAUGGUAGACUCUGCGUGCUCAUCCCGAUAAAUGAUGCAAUUGUUCAUGCACACAUGGUAUUUCACGUGUGGUAAAUCCAGAGGACACACGAUUUUCUUCGCCUCCUCGAAACUGGUCGGGCACUUGUUCCCCUUGGGAAGACGUUCGUGCCAGAAUGACAUGUUCUCGUUGAAGCAUGCGUCGGUCAUUUUGUGUUUUACCUUCAUCUCCAGAGCCAUGAGCAUUACUUUCAGGCAGGUAUCCUCGGGCCUGCAUCCUUCAUCCAAUGGAGUAACCACGUCUAUCUCCAGUUGAUCCAUCUUGGCUUUCUCUCGGGCGGCAGCUCUUGCGUUAUCGGUCUACUUGAGAAGCAGCUCUUGAAUAUGAGGGUCCUGCACCCAGCCCAUCGAUGGGCCAUCGUCGUCUGCUCCGACAUCUUCAUCUUCAUGAUCAUGCCCUUUGUCUACUCUAGCAUCUUCCUCAUCAUCAUGUACGGCAUCUUCUACAUGAUGACUGUGUACUGCAUCUACUUCAUGAUCAUGUCCUGGAGAUUCUUCGUCUUCUCGCCCGCCCUCGUCGCAGUUGUCUUGCUGCCCUUCCUCAUUUCUUGCCCGGCCCCCAUGGACGACUUCAUAAUCAUCUUCAUCACCUUGCCACCGAUAGCCAUCCAUGAAACCACGCAAGAGCAGGUGGUCCCACACCUGUACAGAAUCCGGGUCCAUAAGGCUCCUUAGCUUGCAUCUUCGACACGGACAUCUUAUCUCCGUCUCGUUCUUUUGAAGCAUCUCGGUCUUCGUGGAGCUCAAAAACCUAUUCACGAUGCCUUCGGUCAUCGUGUGGACCAUGGUCGCCUGCGGGGUAGAGCAAAACGAUAUUUUAGAACCAAGAAAUUUUUUGGCAUGACUUUGCCUAAAAAUAGGACCAAAAAGAAUGCAUAGUGCCAAAUUCUCGCCGAAACGGAAAUGAACAUUCCGGCAAAAUAUUGGCAACUAUCGCAUUUCAAAUACUGGUACCUGCAAACACAAACAUAUAUGCAACACCACAAAUAUAUGCAACACCACAAAUAUAUGCAACACCACAAACAUACAUAGAUCUAGCUAGGCCAUAAAAAGUGCAUGUGCACGUUGUUGGAGGGAGGAAAAAAAGUAGAUCUACAACAUAAAGAAAGCUUUCCCCUUACUUACCUAUCAAAAAAAGGUAAUUUAACCACUUAAUUUGGAUGAAUCUAUGGUGCAAAUGAGGUGAGGAGGAGGAGGCAGCCGAGACAAGCUUGGAGGAGGUGGUGGAGAGAAUGAAGUGGGGAAAGUGAGUGUGUAGGUGGCUGUCCAAAAUAUCUACCUGGUCCCAGGUUACUAAUGGUGCACCACCUACAAAUGCACCAUUAGUAACCCUGGUUACUAAUGGCGCACUAGCUGAUGGUGCGCCAUUAGUAGUUUUGCAAAAAAAAUGAUAGUAGUGGCGCACGGGGUGAGUGGUGCGCCAUUACUAGUUAAAACUAGUAAUGGCGCACUGUGCCCUGGUGCGCCAUUAGUAUUUUUGGAAAAUAAUAAUAAUAAAUUGUUAGUAGUGGCGCACCGUGGGUGUGGUGCGCCAUUAGUGUCCAUCACAUUAAUGGCGCACCAACACAUGGUGCGCCACUGCUAUAUAGUAGUGGCGCACCACAUGACUGGUGCGCCAUUAGUGUCCAUAUUAUCUAUAGCCCUUUUCCUAGUAGUGAGUAUUCAACCCAAUUUAUUGAUUUGACACAAGGGAAUCCAAAGAAUAUUUGCAAGUAUUAGCAGACGAGUUGUCAAUUCAACCACAUCCAAAGAUUUAUUAUCUGCAACAAUAUGAUCAGUAGCAAAGCAAUAUGAUAGUUUUGAUAGUAGUAGCAAUAGCAAUAGUGAUGAUAACAAUGAUAGCGAUUUUGUAGCAAGUAUAACGGUAACAACAACAGUAGUAACUUAGCAAGAACAAUAUAAGAGAAAUUUGUAGGCAUUGGAUCAGUGAAUUCGUUGGAUGAUAUUCAUCAUAUAACAGUCAUAACCUAGGGUGAUACGACAGUAGCUCCCGUUCAUAAAUAUAAUGUAGGCAUGUAUUUCGUAAAUUGUCAUACAUGCUUACGGAAAGAACUUGCAUGACAUCAUUUGUCCUACCCUCACGUGGCAGCGGGGUCCUAUUGGAAACUAAGGGAUAUUAAGGCCUCCUUUUAGUAGAGAAUUGGAACAAAGCAUUAAUACAUAGUUAAUACAUGAACUCCUCAAACUACGGUCAUCACCGGAAAGUAUCCCGACUACUGUCACUCUGGGGUUUACGGAUCAACACGUAAUAGGUGAAUAUAACUUGCAAGAUCGGAUCUAGAACAUAGAUAUAAUGGUGAUAACAUAAACAAUUCAGAUCUGAAAUCAUGACACCCGGGCCCAAAGUGACCAGCAUUAAGUAUGGCAAAGUCAUGUCAACAUCAAUCUCAGAACAUAGUGGAUACUAGGGAUCAAGCCUUAACAAAACUAACUCGAUUACAUGAUGGAUCUCAUCCAACUCCUCACCGACCAGCGAGUCUACGAAGGAAUUACUCACUCCCGGUGGGGAGCAUCAUGGAAUUGGCGAUGGAGAAGGGUUGGUGAUGACGAAGAUCGCAAGAUCCCCCUCUCCAGAGCCCCAAAUGGACUCCAGAUCUGGCCUGCUGAUGAAGAAUAGGAGGUGGCGGCGGCUCCGUCUUGUGAAACGCUAUAAUACUUUCUCCCAGAUUUUUUUCUCUGAAAAUAUGAUUUUAUAGUAUCAGGGUUGAGGUCUGCAGGGCCACCAGGUGGGGAAAACCCACCUGGGCGCGCCAGGAGGAGGGGCACUGGUGGGUUGUGCUCACCCUAGGGCCCCCCUCCGGUGGUUCUUGGCUCCAGUAUUUUUAUAUAUUCUGAAAUAAUUCUUCAAAAAGUUUCAUUCCAAUCUAAGAUUUUUUAUUUCUGCACAAAAACAACACCAUGGUAAUUCUAUUGAAAACAAUGUCAGUCCGGGUUAGUUUCAUUCAAAUCAUGCAAAUUAGAGUCCAAAACAAGAGUAAAAUUGUUAGAAAAAGUAGAUACGAUGGAGAUGUAUCAGACCGCCUUUCUUGAUUGCGUUGGCUGAAUGAAGACUAGUUGAUUGCUCCCCCAUACUCCAUAAUGGGUGAGCCACUCUUCGGCACAUCUUCAUAACUCCAUUGUCACCAUAAUGGAUGGCAAGAAACAAGCAUGAGAUCUCUUCGUGAUGCUCCACUUGAACUUGCACACCGCAAUCUUGAUGAUGAUCACCACUUGAUGUCAUCCUCCAUGGGUUAUAUAAUAUCUUCCUUUUGAUGCACGACCAUGGAAACAUACCGAAGCCCACAAACAACUCGUAGACCAUGGGUUAGUACACAAAAACUAAUGGACAAUGCUAAUUAUACCAUGGGAUCACUUGAUCCCUCUCGGUACAUGUUGUAUGCUUUGUGUGUUGAUCAACUUGAUUCACUCUUUGACUUGGUCUUGAUCAACCUUGUAUCAUGUCUUCUACAUGACCAAUCUUUGGAUAAUUCCUUGAAUAGCACAUUGAUCAUCACAUAAACUCCUUGAAACGAACACAUGGACUUUAAGAAAUGCUUAUGGGCAAAUCCUUCAAAUAUAGCUCAAGGCAACCAUUAGUCCAUAGAGAAUGUCAUCAAUUACCAAAACCACACAUGGGGGCACCAUGCUCUUUCAAUGUUGAUUUCAAGAUGACACCAAAUACACCUAGUCUUCGCAACAACACAAUUCAAGAGCUACCUACUGUGAGGAUGCAUGCACCAAUAUUCUUUUUUAAAACAAGAUAUAACCUCACCAAAGCAGUCAAUGAACAAGAAAACAUCAACAUCAAUCACCAACAUUGGCAACCCCUGAGAAACAUUCUCCAGCAAUGAUGUCUCUAGGAAGGGAAGGAGCAGUGCACAAUUACCGUCACAGUACAAGUAAUGAAGCUACACGUUAAGUUUAUUGCCAUCAUAAUACACACUUCAGCUUUUUGGUGAACUAUCCAUGCAAAGCACCAUCUCAUUCGCCAAAAGCUCCAGCUGAAAGAGAGGGCAAAUCAUUAUACUCUAACAAUCUUCUUCUAUCUAUGCUCCAUUGAAAUUACAGUGUGGGUAUUGGAAGCUAUGUUUUGCGAUUCGAAAGCAAAAUAAUAAUAAUCUAGACCUUAUAGAAAAAUAAGCAGUAAUUGCAAAAUGUUGAUACGGAGGACUAAAUCCCAGAUAGAGAUGUUUGAAAAUUUCAAGUCCCAGUCCCAUUUUUGUCAAGUAGUAACCGCAACACCUUCUAUGCUUUACUUCCUACCUACCACCUCACCGAAAGAAUCAAUUUCUGUCAUUUUACUAAGAAACACAAAACUGUGAAUAUAAUAGGGAGGGCUACACUUAUUUGUCUAGUUAUUUCUUUAUUGUAAACUAUAUGCAUCCAACCAAUUCACGCAUUAGUUCAAUGAUUUUAUCUCAAGUAAACCAUAAUGAUGAAAUAUGUCAUAGUUGAACUAUUAGGUUUUGUGACAAAUGGCAUAACGGACUUCCUUUGGAAAUCCUUUCUCUCAACUAAGCAAGUUUAUGGGGCUUCUACGCGAGGUACAACUCCCACAAACAAACUAGGUUACAAUGUGUUCAACCGCCUUUCUAGAAACCAUUGAAGCACCAAAUACAAGAUUAUAUGUUCACUAGGGAGAUACUGCAUUCAGUUCGUCAGGGUUUGUAUAGCAUUCCUAGGUGAAUGGUUUGACUCAUACCUGACAUGCACCGCGUAUUGAAACCUUGAGACAUAAUGUCGAAAAACACAAAUUGAUAGCUAACUAUAUUAGAUCUAGAAACAUCGACCCUCAUUUUUUUAAUCAUAAAGUGAUUUUACAAACCCCCGACAUGUUGUGUUUGGCGUGUACACGUAAUAGAUUAAUGGGCCUAGCAAAAAAACAAGACAAAUGCUAGGGAUGUAUGCCUCUGUUUUUUUAUUUACCCCGCAUAUUAGUUUAACUGAAGUCAAAUGUUAUAAAGUUUGACCAAGUUUGUAGGAAACAAUAGGAACAUUUAACAUAAAAAACCUAUGUCCUGUGAAAAUAUAUUCAAUGAUGAAUCUAAUGGUAUUGAUUUGUGGUGUAUAUGUUACUAUAUUUUUGUACCACUGUCGGUGUUAAAACCGGCGGAUCUCGGGUAGGGGGUCCCGAACUGUGCGUCUAGGCGGAUGGUAACAGGAGACGAGGGACACGAUGUUUUACCCAGGUUCGGGCCCUCUUGAUGGAGGUAAAACACUACGUCCUGCUUGAUUAAUAUUGAUGAUGUGUGCUACAAGAGUAGAUCUACCACGAGAUCAAGGAGGCUAAACCCUAGAAGCUAGCCUAUGGUAUGAUUGUUGUUCGUCCUACGGACUAAAGCCAUCCGGUUUAUAUAGACACCGGAGAGGGUGUUACACAGAGUCGGUUACAAUGGUAGGAGAUCUACAUAUCCGUAUCGCCAAGCUUGCCUUCCACGCCAAGAAAAGUCUCAUCCGGACACGGGACGAAGUCUUCAAUCUUGUAUCUUCAUAGUCUUGGAGUCCGGCCGAUGAUGAUAGUUCGGCUAUCCGGACACCCCCUAGUCCAGGACUCCCUCAGUAGCCCCUGAACCAGGCUUCAAUGACGAUGAGUCCGGCGCGCAUAUUGGCUUCGGCAUUGCAAGGCGGGUUCCUCCUCCGAAUAAUUUAUAGAAGAUUGUGAACACCAGGAUAGUGUCCGGCUCUGCAAAAAUAAUUUGCACAUACCACCAUAGAGAGAAUAAUAUUUCCACAAGUUCAAUCUGCUGACGUAUUUGAUGGCAUGACGUCACACCGCUACCAAGCCUUUACUUAAAUCGUUUUUAUUGUACCACCUCAGCGCGUUUAGCGAAGCGGUUUCCUUGGCACGUCUUGUCGAAGCAGAGAUCAUGUUCCCCUUAUUCCGGGAUUCCCAUCAAUACGGACGUGGGUAACCCAACCGCGCCAUUGAUUGCGGCGCUUGGGGGAUAAGCGAGUUUUAUCAGGCCGGUGGGGACGCAUGUUUUCGUCCGCCCAUAUAAGGGGAUAAAGAUCCAACCCUAUUACCUGCGCCUUCUUCCUCCUUGGCUUACCCAUCUCUGCGAACCCGAGCUCCAGCGCCCAAGCGCGCACAUCUCACCUCAACCUUCUCCAACUAUGUCCGGAGCAGGAGGCAAGUGGAUGGCCUCCUCCAUCACGGAGGGGCAGAUCUAGAAGCUGCGCAACGCCGGAUACUUGUCCAGCGACAUCGCGCACCGGCUCCCCAAUGAGGGAGAGCUCAUCCCCACCCCCAAGCCCCAUGAGAGGGUAGUAUUCCUUCCCCAUUUCCUCCGCGGACUGGGCUUCCCACUCCAUCCCUUUGUCUGGGGGCUCAUGUUCUACUACGGCCUGGAUUUCCAUGAUUUGGCCCCGAAUUUCAUCCUCAACAUCUCGGUGUUUAUCGUUGUGUGUGAGGCCUUCCUCUGCAUCCAGCCCCACUUCGGCUUGUGGCUCAAGACCUUCAGUGUCAAGCCGAAGGUUGUGAAGGGCAGCCAAGCGGAGUGCGGAGGCGCCAUGGUGGGCAGGAUGUCCCAUGUUACUUAGCUCGAGGGAACUUUCGUGGAAACCAUCAAGGGGUGGCAAUCGGGGUGGUUCUACAUCACCGAGCCGCGUGAUCCCGAAUGGGCAGCGGUCCCCGAAUUCAGAUCCGGCAUCCCCACACGGCUCACCUCCUGGAAAGAGAGCGGCCGGACAUGGGGUGAUUCGGAGGAGCUGACAGGACUCCAAGCUUGUAUCCAAAAGCUAGUGGACAAGAAGCUCAAGCUUGUCAACGUAGUCCAGGUCAUGCUCAUCUGCCAGAUUCUCCCGUGCCAACGACGGGGCUUCAACAUGUGGGAGUUCGAUCCGGCACAGCACCAGACUUUGAAUGGGCUCUUCGACACUACAUACGAAGAUGUCUCGAAGGUGCUAUUCAAGGGCGCCGAAGCUCCCGCAUCCGCUACCGAAGAUCGCGGAUUCAGCUCAGAGCGUCCAGCUGAUGAGGUAAGUUAUUUUGUCCUUUAAGGGACGCUUGUUUUCCAUAGUUUGACUCUAUGCGGGAUCUAAACUCCCUUUCCUUUGACAGGACUAGAUGAAGAAGGCCGAACAGGCUAUCUGUCCGGCCCCAUUGCCAGAGGACCCAGCGGAUGCCCGUUUGACGGGGCUGCUAGCUUCGGCACCCCAUGUGGUGCCGGAGAAGAAGGCCAAGAAGAAGGUCACAGGGACUCGGAAGAGUUCCCGCUUUCAGGUGCUAUCGGAUGACGACUCCGAGGCCGACUCCUCUCACCAAGGUGAGGAGGAGAAGAAGAAAGCCUCUUCCCCAGCGGGGGGAGAGAAGAAAAAGAAGGCCUCCCCAACGAGGGAGGCCGAGGGGUCCAAGAAGGGAAAAACUCUUCCCCCGGACUGCUCUGCCAAUGCCAGUGAUGACGACGAGGACUGGCCUCCAAGGGCCAAGCCCUAGGCGAGAUCGUGAGUAUCCGGACUCCCGAAUAACUUCAUGGUUUAUCUUUUUUGCCACACAAUGUCUUUCUAAUGCCGCAUACAACCCUGCAGUCCGCCCAAGGACGAUCUUCCCGCUUCGUCGAGCGGGUCCUUAGGUGCGUCGGAUAUGGAUUCUCUUCCGACCGCCUCCACCCCCCGUGACACGGACGAUGCCAAGGUGGGAUCCCGGGAAGGGACCCGCCAGGAGGAGGAGGCCCCGGAGGUGUCGCAGGACAACCUCCCGGACUUUGCACCGGACUCGGCUCCGGAUCCCAUAGUGGCUCCGGAGUUCGGCGGGCGGCCCCUUCGUAAGAAGGGCAAGACCGUGACACCGGCAGCCUCCGUCCAACCGAAGGCGCCGGAUAGCUUGCUGGAGGCGCUCAAUGGCGCCUCCAUCAAAGAGGAACACCGCACUGUUAUGAGUGCGGUGAUUUAGAAGGUGCAGCUCGCCAAGAGCGGGCUGACCGAAGCCUGCAACAGCCUUCUAACAGGCUUUGAGGUAAGAAUUUUGAUAUAUGUAAAAUAGUACCGCAUAGACAGUAGCCCCUGAUGCUCGGUUCGGUGUUCGGAAAGAAAAGCCGGACUGAGGAUCUAAGAAGAUAUACGCAGGAGUCAUAAAAAAUAUGUCGAUAUGGGAUUGCAGGCUGCGCUGCUGACCUCUGCCGCACUGACUGCGGAGGUCAAUACUUUGAAGGAAGGCCUCGAGAGGUCCGAGAAUGAGCUCGGCCGUGCCAAGAAGCAGCUCGAGGACAAGGAAGGUGAGUAACACCUUAUUAAAAUUGUACCUUACAGAAAAGGAUUUUGGUUGCAAAAUGAAGGACAAGGAUAACAUGGGUAUUGCAGGGGCCACUAACGAGGUGGCGACCCUGAAAGAGGCGGUGGCUGCGACCGAACACAAUGCGGCCGCGGAGCGCACCGAGCGAGAGAAGCGGGAGGCACGGGUGGCGGAGGUACAGCAAGAGCUCCAGGAUCUCGUGAAAAAACAUGAGAGCCUGGAGCGUGACUCGACGACUCGAGAGUCUGAGCUUGCAACGGCUCUUAAGAGUGCCAAAGCCGCUAAGGCCGAAGCCUACAAGGCCCUCCAGGAAAUCGAGGCGUUGAAGAAAAUAGCAGCGGGUAAGGCAUUUUUCAUGCAAAGUAAGCAUGUGAGUGUUAAUUACCUGUUGCUUACCCGAAUUCGGAGCUCUCCAGGAGCGUUCGCAGAUCUUCCUCGCAGCGUGUCCGAUGCUGCCGCGUUCUACCGGGCCGAGGAGGGGAGCUCGACGGAGAAGGUCUUCUGGUCUCAGUAUGCUGAGGCCGGACAUCCGGUGCCCCUUAGCGACCAGCUAAAGCAGCUGGUCGAGCUCUACAAGGUGGCCGAACAGGCCAUGAAGGGCCUCAUAGUUCGGCUGUGGCCUAAGGAGGCCAUGCCUGGGAGCUACUUCGGCCUGGUGCGGCGGCUGGUGGAUGCGUGCCCGUGGGUCGAAGUCAUCAAGCACUCCGUCUGUAUUGAAGGUGCCCGUCGGGCCCUUGCCCGCUCAAAGGUGCACUGGGGCAAGAUGGAUGCCUAGAAGCUCGUGACGGACCCACCACCGGAGCGCAAGGAGCAUCGCACGCCCGAGAUGUAUUAUAAGAGUGUGCUGAAGGGCGCCCGCACUAUUGCGGGUGAGUGCUCCAAAGAUGUAAUAUUUGAGUAGACUCGCAUUUUGUUAUCCUGUGCGCUGAAAACUUAGUUCAUUUGCGCUAAGCAACGUGUUUUGAUUUAAAAUAUUACCUUCUGUGCGGCUGUUUAUCAAAUCUGAGAGAUGGCAAGUCGUCGGCUUCAGCCCCCAUGCCACGAGUGCUGGGGUGUUCGGGAUAAACUUGAGCACUCUUGUUCCCAUAUUUGGGUCCAUCUAGGGAGGCGCUCAACACAACGAACAAGGCAACCGGACUUAUAAUGCUUGAACACUCUCACUUAGCCAUAAAAUUCUAUAAUUUUAAAUUUCGGCGAAGCCCCUAAUCUUCGGAAGGCCGAAUUUGGGGCGCUAUCCAUGCCUUGGCCGGACAAAAACCGGCUCCUCGCUCUAAGCGGCAUAAGUCUUUAGGGACUCACAAAAAACCUCUCGAACAGCGACCAGCUCUCACCUCAUCAUGACGGUCAGUUUUAGCUUUCUCCACUGAGGCGUUAACCCAGCUCAACUGGGGCGCAAUCGCAGUGGUUCUCCCAGUGCUACCUUAGCCGAUACAACGGAACAUAAGGUACCAAAACAUGGGAGCCGGGCAAACCCAACUAUUGACCCAAGACAUGAUUCGGAGCUGAUGCAUAUAUUGCUAUAAGUUCGGGGUGCCGCACUUGUGAAAGUGUUCGGACUUAUCACACCAUGAUGCGGGAAACAUAAGCCCCUGGUGUAUUUAGCCAUACCAGAACGUACGGAUGCGUAAUGUCACAAAUGAACAUAUGUAUAAAAAAGAAAUGCAAUUGCAAGCAAAAAAAGGUGCUGCAUUACUUAUUAAAGAAAAAUUGUUGUAAGUGCAGAACGAUACAAAUGGUGCGAUAAGCAAGGGAUGGGACUGUUAAACAUGUCCCCCUCCAGGGGUAGGCUGCGGAAUGGUGCAUAAAACAGAUUUAAUGCUCGUAAUGGAGACCACCUGGAUAGUCGUUGUAGCCUUUCUUCUUCCCUAGCUAUUGCAUCGUGAGUUCGGCAGGUCUACUACCGGACAGGGCCUCUGACGAACGGAGUCCUGUGGGUAAAAAUAAAAAAAAGGAAAAAGAAAAAAAAGAACGACACACUUGAGAGCCCCUGGUGUGGUUGAGCCGCAGUCUGGGCCUAUCGUGGUCGUGCCCCUCUCCCCAUGCCCAUGGUAUCUUCAGAGCGUAAUGGUGUACGCGAAGGACCUGUCUUGAUGUUUUACAGGGGCUGGGGUUGGGGCCGCACUGCUACGCAUGCUCGACACGUGCCAGGUGGUCUUGUUGUAAGUUACUCCGGGCGCGCUUAGCUGUGUACGGCCGCUUAAUGGCCGAACUCGAGAAUUGCCUUAAGAGGCUGCAUUGUACUUCUGCCGCGAGAGCCGUUGUAUGUUCCUCCGUGCGGAGAGAACGUUCAGUGUUUCCGUUGACCGUGAUGACUUCUCGAGGGCCUGGCAUCUUGAGCUUGAGGUAUGCGUAGUGCGGCACCGCGUUGAACUUUGCGAAUGCGGUACGUUCGAGCAGAGCAUGAUAGCCGCUGCGGAACGGAACUAUGUCGAAGAUUAAUUCCUCGCUCCGAAAGUUAUCCGGGGAUCCGAAGACCACUUCUAGUGUAACUGAGCCUGUGUAAUUGGCUUCUACACCUGGUAUGACGCCUUUAAAGGUCAUCUUGGUAGGUUUAAUCCUUGAGGGGUCUAUGCCCAUUUUGCACACUGUGUCCUGAUAAAGCAGGUUCAGGCUGCUGCCGCCGUCCAUCAGGACUCUGGUGAGGUGAAAUUCAUCGACGAUUGGGUCUAGAACCAAUGCGGCGAAUCCGCCAUGGCGGAUGCUGGUGGGGUGGUCCCUCCGGUCAAAAGUGAUCGGGCAGGAGGACCAUGGAUUGAACUUCGGGGCAACUGGCUCCAUCGCAUAUACAUCCCUGAGUGCACGCUUCCGCUCCCUUUUGGGUAUGUGCGUUGUGUAUAUCAUGUUCAUCGUCCGCACCUGUGGGGGGAAACCCUUCUGUCCUCUAUUGUUCGGCGGCCGGGUCUCUUCCUCGUCAUCGUUGUGCAGCCCCUUGUCAUUGUUUUCGGCAAUUAACUUGCCUGCCUAUUUGAAUACCCAACAGUCCCUGUUGGUGUGGUUGGCUGGCUUUUCCGAGGUGCCAUGUAUUUGGCACAAGCGGUCGAGUAUUCGGUCCAAAUUGGACGGACCCGGAGUAGUUCUUUUAAAUGGCUUUUUCCGCUGACCGGGUUUAGAGCCUCUGAAUCCGGCAUUGACUGUUGUAUCUUCACUGUUAUCGCCGUUAAUGCGGCGUUUGUUUUUGUUGCGAUGCGACCUGCCACUACGGUCCUUGAAAUCCGGACUGCCAGAAUUUUUGCUGAGGUUAUUGCUGCGUGCUAGCCAGCUGUCCUCACCCGUGCAGAAGCGGGUCAUGAGUGAUGUGAGGGCUGCCAUUGAUUUCGACUUUUCCUGUCCUAGGUGCCGGGCCAGCCACUCGUCGCGGAUGUUGUGCUUGAAGGCUGCUAGGGCCUUUGCAUCCGGACAGUCGACGAUUUGGUUUUUCUUUGUUAGGAACCGUGUCCAGAAUUGUCUGGCCGAUUCGUCUGGCUGCUGAAUUAUGUGGCUUAGAUCGUCGGCGUCUGGUGGUCGCACGUACGUGCCUGGAAGUUAUCGAGGAAUGCGGCUUCCAGGUCUUCCCAACUCCCGAUUGACUCUGCUGGCAAGCUGUUAAGCCAAUGUCGGGCUGGUCCUUUAAAUUCGAGUGGGAGAUAUUUGAUGGCGUGAAGAUCAUCACCGCGGGCCAUGUGGAUAUGGAGGAGAUAGUCUUCGAUCCAAACCGCGGGGUCUGUUGUGCCAUCGUAGGAUUCAAUGUUCACGGGUUUAAACCCUUCAGGGAUUUGAUGAUCCAUUACUUCGUCUAUGAAGCAUAGUGGGUGUGUGGCGCCUCUGUACUGGGCGAUAUCGCGACGAAGCUCAAAAGAGCUUUGUCUAUUUUGUUCGGCCCGGCCGGACUUACUGUGUCCGGCACGACGGUUGUCGCCACGUAUCAUGGGGCGCCCACGCGAUCCAUAGAUCGAUCUUGAUUGUCUUGCCUUACCCUCCAAUAUAUCUCGCAAGUCCGGAGCGUUCCCCUGUGGCUUUGUGCUCUUCGAGCGAUGCCGGGGUACGGUUCUAGUGAAGGGCCUAGAAGCCUCUCUGUCACGACCACGGGGUGGUCGGUCAGCCGUAUUGUCUGCUAGUGAUGUAGGUUCGUAUGCCUCCUCCUCUAAUCGGGGGAGCAGCUUGCGUUUAGGGUAACUUUUGGAGGGGCGUUCGAGCUCAUGCUCUUCGGCCGCGAGGACUUCAGUCCAUCUGUCGGCUAGCAGAUCUUGAUCAACUCUAAGCUGUUGGUGCUUUUUAUUUAGGCUGUUUGCCAUGGCCAUAAGCCUGCAUUUAAAACGCUCUUGUUCGACGGGAUCCUCAGGCACGACGAAUUCGUCGUCGUCGAGGCUUGCCUCGUCUCCGGAGGGAGGCAUGUAGUCCUCUACCUCUUCUUCUGCCGCUCUCUCAUGAGGGCUGGCGUCCCCAUCCUCCCGUGCUGAAUUUUGCUAGAGUGGGUUGUCUUCGGCACUAUCUGGGGUGUUAUUAUCUCUGGUGCCGGAAUCUUCAUUCUUGCUAUGGCAGGAUUAGAGCGGCGCCGCUGACGCCGACGCUUGGGCUGUUUCUUGGAGGGGUCAUCCUCCGCUGCCCCUUCGCCAUUCCCAUCCUUUGGGAUAUCCACCAUGUAUAUAUCAUAUGAUGAGGUGGCUUUCCAGUGCCCGAUAGGCGCUGGUUCUUGGUCAUCUCCGGCAUCGUCGUCCAUACCGUCGAUGUCUUCGGAGUCGUAGUCUAGCAUGUCGGUUAGGUCAUCAACAGUGGCUACCAAGUGGGUGGUGGGUGGGUUUUGAAUUUCUUCAUCGUCCGCAUCCCAACCGUCCUGGCCGCAGUCCGGCCAGGGCUCUCCUGAUAAUGAGAGAUACUUUAGCAAACUCAGGAUGUCGCCAAAAGGUGAGUGUUGAAAGAUGUCCGAGGCAGUAAACUCCAUGAUCGGCGCCCAACCGGAUUCGAUUGGUGGGGGCGCGGGAGGUUCGUAGUCCGGCAAGGAGUCCGGCGCCUUGGAGUCACGAGCUUCAUGAGGGACAAGGUCAGUGUUCGGCUCUAUCACCAUAGAGGUUGCAGCCCCCGAGGCGGCGUCUAACCAUCCAUCCUCGAUCUGCGCAGCCGGCUCUGAAUUGAAGAUCGGAGCAGGCUCAAGUGCGGCCUCCAGGGUACUGUCCGGUCGCAGAGCUAAAUCAUGCUCGUCGUGACAGUGCGGCACGCUCGGCUGUGGCUCGAAUCCAUCGAGGAUCAAGUCCCCACGGAUGUCAGCCGUGAAGUUCAAACUUCCAAAUCUGACCUGACGGCCAGGGGCGUAACUUUCGAUCUGCUCUAGAUGGCCAAGAGAAUUGUCCCGCAGUGCAAAGCCGCCGAAUACGAAGAUCUGUCUGGGGAGGAAGGUCUCACCCUGGACUGCGUCGUUGAUGAUGAUCGGAGAAGCCAUUGAGCCUAUCGGCGACUGCACAGAGGAACUCUCAAUGAAAGCACCAAUGUCGGUGUCAAAACCGGCGGAUCUCGGGUAGGGGGUCCCGAACUGUGUGUCUAGGCGGAUGGUAACAGGAGACGAGGGACACGAUGUUUUACCAAAGUUUGGGCCCUCUUGAUGGAGGUAAAACCCUACGUCCUGCUUGAUUAAUAUUGAUGAUGUGUGCUACAAGAGUAGAUCUACCACGAGAUCAAGGAGGCUAAACCCUAGAAGCUAGCCUAUGGUAUGAUUGUUGUUCGUCCUACGGACUAAAGCCAUCUGGUUUAUAUAGAUACCGGAGAAGGCUAGGGUUACACAGUGUCAGUUACAAUGGUAGGAGAUCUACAUAUCCGUAUCGCCAAGCUUGCCUUCCACGCUAAGGAAAGUCCCAUCCGGACACGGGACGAAGUCUUCAAUCUUGUAUCUUCAUAGUCUUGGAGUCCGGGCGAUGAUGAUAGUUCGGCUAUCCGGACACCCCCUAGUCCAGGACUCCCUCAACCACCUUGGUGAAAGAAUAUAAAGUUUAAUUUUACACAAAGCUAAUAUUUGAAGUAAAUAAAGAUGAAAUUGGGUGGGGGAGGGGGUGGGUUGACGACAAACCACGACAUUCUAGAGUGUCCUUUAAUUAAUGUUAUCUCGUUAAGUAAUACUUUGCCCCUAAGAUUCGUAGGAUUCCGAAGGCGUGGAUAUGAAAAAGUAGAUACAAGUACAAUGUGAUAUCCAACUGAAUCAUAAAAUAUUUGUGAAUUUUGAACCAAAGUUUGUUUGAUUGUACUCCCUUCGUUUCAUAUCAGUUGUCAAGUGGUUUGAGUCAAUGCAAAUUUCUUAUAUAAUGCAAGCACAAUGCAAAUAACUACCAUCGCAAACAAUUAUAUGAAAAUCCACUGAAUGAAAGAGGCCCAUCAACUUAGAAAUUCCUUGCAAUAUGUACUCAUAUAAGGCCUUCCUCCUAUGCCCUUGCCCAGGCAGGGGGCUGGAGCAGCAGCGGCCCCGUCCGCCCCGCGAUCCUUGGCUUCUCAAGCCGAGUCGGUCAUGCCGUGUCCAACAUGGAUGGUUCAAAGAGGAGUUCUGGGGGACCACGCACAGGAGGGCUAGGGCUUCCUGGCCCAUGCCGCAAGAUACAGUAGACUUCUGUGUACUUCAAGACGUCAGGGGCAUCGGUGGAACAUCAUCGGAAACCACGAAAGCCGCCAGAUCGAGCCAACCUCCCUACCGUGAAGCCUUUGUCCGAGCGCCCGCCCGACGAGAGGGCAUCGCCUGUUCUCGAAGGAAAAGUGCCGCCAGCGCUUGAGGAGAACCUGGUGGUUGGUGGGGGCGAUUAUGGGGCUCCCUCCGAGGAUGCUACCCGCCUGAAGCCUUCCAUCGGGGGAGCCGAAGAUGUUGUGGCGACGAACCCGUGGGUGCAGACGCUCUUCAUAUGCAAAGCCGGUACACCAAACAAGUGUCAGACUAUGGAGUCUCUGGAGGGGCAGCAGACUCGUGUGGAAGGAGAUAUGCAUGACCAGGACAUGCUGGAGAGAACAAACACCAUGGAGGCAGUCGGCCCAGGGGCCGCUGAUGAACUGACGGGGCUCGUGGAGCCUCGUCAAGAGCAAUGAACAUCCUGAGCUGGAACUGCUGAGGAGGUGGGAACCCUCAGACAGUUUGGGAUCUCGUGAGUCUAGUACAGGCUCACUCCCCUAGUAUCGUUUUUCUUUGUGAAACUAGGUAGUCGAAAAAUGAAAUGAAGAGAUAUCGUGCUCGUUUAGGUCUUAGUGGUUUUGAUGCUUCUGAUAGCAUAGGCUUCAGUGGUGGUCUUGCUUUGUAUUGGCACGAGUCAUUGAGUCUGGAUGUAAAAACUAUUAAUGAAAGAUACAUCGAUGCGUACGUGACUGGUAUGGCAGGUGAGCCACCCUGGAGGCUUACUUGCGUCUACGGCGAACCCCGGACGGAGGACCGUCCUCGCAUGUGGUCUUCCCUUCGGGAACUUCAUCAACAAACCAACAUGUCGUGGACGAUGAUUGGUGAUUUUAACGAAGCCAUGUGGAGUUUUGAGCACUUCUCCGAAACACCACGGUCGGCAGGUCAGAUGAUUGCUUUCAUGAUGUUCUUGAAGUUUGCGGCUUGGGCGACCUUGGUUUUGCAGGCCUUCCAUAUACAUAUGAUAAUCGCCGAGGAGGGCGGGCGAACGUCAAGGUCCGCAUCGACAGGGAUGUGGCAAACAAUUCCUGGAGGGAUAUUUUCUCUCACGCCAAGGUGGAGCACCUUGUGGCGCCCAGCUCGGACCAUCUUCCCAUUUUGCUGCAGUGUGUGAUGGAGGAGCCCGUGCACACAGUCGGGAGAAAAUGUCGCCAAUAUGAGGUUAUGUGGGAGAUGGAUCAUACUCUCCCUGAGGUAAUUAUGAAUGCAUGGACUGAGUUGGGUUCAAUGCUUAAUCUCGGUGAUAUAGCUACUGGUUUGGGUAAUAUGAUGAAUAAGUUGCAGCAGUGGAGUCGUAAGAAGUUUGGUAAUGUAAUCAAGGAAAUUAAUAAAUCUCGCUCUCGUUUAGAGGAACUUAUGUCUAUGAAUGCAGACAGGAAGGAGAUUAGAGCGGCAAUAGACCGGAUGAACGAGCUCCUGUACAGGGAAGAAAUGCUUUGGAUGCAAAGAUCGUGUAUUGCUUGGCUGCGGGAAGGUGACCGGAAUACCCAGUUCUUUCAUCGAAAAGCGGUAUGGCGUGCACGGAAAAAUCGUAUAGAACUUCUUGUCGAUGAGGCAGGAGUGACCCACAAGGACCAUGCUUCUAUGGCGGCUAUGGCUACUGCAUAUUUUUCGAGUUUAUUUGCUGCUGAUACUACCCUGGCUCCAGAACCUGUUAUCGAUCUCAUUAAUACCCGUGUUACUGACCGCAUGAAUGAUGGCCUAUGCGCAGAUUUUUCAGACAAGGAGAUAGCCGAUGCACUGUUCCAGAUUGGGCCUCUGAAAGCCCAGGGACCGGAUGGAUUCCCCGCUUGUUUCUUCCAGCGGAAUUGGGCGGUCAUGAGGGAACAAGUUAUUGCUGGGGUAAAGGAAUUUUUUCGCACAGGUAUCAUGCCCGCGGGAGUGAACAACACAUCCAUUGUUCUUAUACCAAAGGUGGAUAACCCGGAGAGGUUAACAGAGUUCCGCCCCAUCAGCCUGUGCAACGUUAUUUAUAAGGUGGUGGCAAAAUGUCUGGUAAACCGGUUGAGGCCUAUUUUAGAUGACAUUAUUUCACCGGAGCAGAGCGCCUUUGUUCCUGGAUGGAUGAUUACUGAUAAUGCUUUAAUUUCUUUUGAGUGCAUUCACUUUAUUCAGCAGGAGAAAGACCCUGACAAGAGUUUCUGUGCGUAUAAGCUGGAUCUGUCUAAGGCAUAUGAUAGGGUGGAUUGGAUCUUCUUGGAGCGAAUGAUGCAAAAGAUGGGCUUCGCUUGCCAAUGGGUGGACUGGAUUAUGGCUUGCGUCACCUCGGUGAGAUACACAGUAAAAUUUAAUGGAACCCUCUUGGAUUCGUUCGCACCGUCACGUGGGCUUCGACAAGGUGAUCCCCUAUCCCCGUUUAUGUUUCUGUUGGUGGCUGGCGGGCUUUCUGCUUUGUUGAAAGAUGGAGAGGAGAAAGGUGCUUACACACCGCUGGAAAUCUGCCGAAGAGCUCCGGGUGUGUCACACUUGCUUUUUGCGGAUGAUACUUUGUUGUUCUUUAAAGCAGAGGAGGAACAAGCAAAAAAGGUUCAGGAAGUACUUAAUAUGUAUGAACGGGUUACUGGACAGUGUAGUAACCCAGAUAAGUGCAGUGCUCUCUUUGGUCCAUCAUGUGCCGUGGACAUACAGGAUAGUAUACGGGUUGUCCUUCACAUUGGUGUGAGCACCUUUGAGGAAAAAUACCUAGGACUUUCGACGCCAGAGGGUCGUAUAUCACGAGGUAAACUUCAGAAUUUGCAGUCACGGCUGAUGAAGAGGACCAUUGCUUGGGGUGACACUCUUUCUCUUGCUGCCAAGGAGAUUAUGAUUAAAGCAGUCGCACGGGCUAUCCCAACUUAUAUUAUGGGUGUUUUUAAACUGCCUAUGUCAGUGUGUGAUGAUCUGAACAGAACGGUGCGAAAUUUUUGGUGGGGAUCUUCAGAGGGCAAGAGGAAAACUCACUGGUUGGCAUGGCCAAAAAUUCUGGCGCACAAAUCCCAGGGCGGAUUGGGUUUCAAGACUUCCGGGUGUUCAACCAAGCUCUUCUCACGAGACAGGCAUGGUGCUUGCUAGCUAAGCCUGAUAGUUUAUGUGCGCAGGUGUUAAAGGCUCGGUAUUAUCCUGAUGGACGCCUUGAGGAUACAGUAUUUGCCGGAAAUGCUUCGCCUACUUGGCAGGCCAUCCAGCAUGGCCUCGAGCUCCUGAAGAAGGGCAUCAUCUGGCGUGUCGGGAAUGGACAGAGCAUCCGCAUCUGGCGGGACCGCUGGGUACCCCGGGAGCCUUCACGCCAUCCCAUUACACAGCAAGGCACCUGUCGGCUGAGAUGAGUGGCGGAUCUUCUGGAUGAUGCCGGCGCUUGGCAGAUGGACUUGCUACGCCGACACUUCCUCCCGGCGGACAUUGACGCGGUCACCAGUAUCCGCACCUCGCCCCACAUCACCGACGACAUUAUCGCAUGGGCGCCGGAGAAGAACGGUAUAUUCAUCGUUUGAUCCGCCUAUCACUUCGCCAUGGACGAGCGGGAACGUCCACUGGCUACCUCCACGAGCAGGGCACCAGAUGGUCGUCGCGCCAUCUGGAAGAUCAUAUGGGGGUGCCCUGCCCCCCCUAAGGUACGCGUGUUUGCAUGGAGAGUAGUGACCAACUCGUUGGCUACCUGGGCCAACAAAUUUUCUCGUCAUCUUGAGCUUACUGACAUAUGUCCUCUUUGUGGUGUGGAACGAGAGGACGGCUUCCAUGCAUUAUGCAGAUGCCCACUUGCUAGAGAGCUGUGGCGGAAUAUGGAGACGGACUGGCCAAUCCCAAAGCUCGAGGGAAUUUGCAAUAACGACCCAGAGUGGCUGUUUUCCCUCCUGGAACCACUAGACGGAACGGCACGCCUGGUCACCCUCAUGAUUAUGUGGCGAACCUGGUACGUGCGCAAUGAGAUUACUCAUGGAAAGAAGCCACCCCCAACAGAAGCAUCCCGCCGCUUCCCCAACGGGCACAUUAAUUCGCUUCUAUGCAUUCAUCACUACCCAAAUGGAGACGUGGAGAAAGGAAAGAUGAUCCUGCAUGUUACCCCACCGGCCACAACUUUAUGUACUGAGCAGAAGCAGGAGCUACGUUGGGCGCCGCCCGGCCCGAGCUGGACGAAGUUAAACACUGAUGGCAGUUAUGUCCCAGCUACAGGCGUUGCAGGAGGGGGCAUGGUCCUCCGCGAUGACAGAGGAGAGAUCAUCUUCAGUGCGUGUAGGGAGAUACGCACAUGUGAUAACAGCCUGCAUGCGGAACUUGCAGCAUGCAGAGAGGGCUUGGAAUUGGCUUUGCAUCGGACCAACCUACCCAUCGUGGUGGAGCUGGAUAGUGUGGAAGCGGUCACGAGGCUUACAACACAUGUGAUGGACCGCUCACAGCACCGUGUUCUAGUUGACGAGAUUCGGAGGAUAGUUACAUAAGAGGAUAGAGAGAUUUUUUUUACUCACUGUAGACGAUCUCGGAAUAAAGUUAGUCAUGAGUUGGCCGCGUACGGCCGUAGUACCCCCCGCACUGCUGUGUGGUUGCGAUCAGGGUUGGAAUUUGUUGUAAACCUAUCCAAGGCUGAUAAGCCUCCUUGAGUAAUGAAAAUCUCCUUUCACCCUGCAAAAAAAUGUACUCAUAUAAGGCUAGCUUUUUUUCCUGUUAAAAAAGAUAAAUAAUGGAGAAAUAUUUGGGAAGAUAACACUUGGCACUCGGUUGGUGGAACACGUCACAAUAUUAUUUCGAAUUGAUCUGUAACCAGAAUCUCAAUGCAAAAUACCCCAAGCAUACAACCGAGACCACGCAUGCACCCCAUCGCAUGGCCUCCACACGCCUUGUCGAUAUCCAUGGUGGCAUCUGCGCCGGCCGGGUGUCACGGAUCCCCCUUCACUCCCUCAGCGUGUGAACGUGGACGCUCCAACCCAACCGUGCCCCGUGUUCAGGAUAAGCUGGCCGGCUCGUCCGCCCUUCUUAUUGCCGCUGCUUCUCAUCUCACACGCUCCAACACUAUCCUCUCCUCCACCGAGUAUCCGCCUACGGAGUAGUACCUCGCAAGCUAGCUCGCAGCUCCGCCGCAAUGGCCACCGUAUUGAGCAGCCUCCGCUUGCCCUUCUCCGUCUGCCCCGCCGCCCCUUCGGCGCCCAUGGCGGCAUCCCGCGUCGCGCUCCCGCUGUCGUCGACGGCCGCCAGGGGCAUGAGGCUCCGCGCGCAGGCGACGUACAAGGUGAAACUGAUCACGCCGGAGGGCGAGGUGGACCUCGAGGUCCCCGACGACGUCUACAUCCUCGACCACGCCGAGGAGGAAGGGAUCGACCUGCCCUACUCCUGCCGCGCCGGCUCCUGCUCCUCCUGCGCCGGGAAGGUGGUCUCCGGCCAGCUGGACCAGUCCGACCAGAGCUUCCUCGACGACGACCAGAUCGAGGCGGGGUGGGUGCUCACCUGCGCCGCGUACCCCACCUCGGACCUCGUCAUCGAGACCCACAAGGAGGAGGAGCUCACCGCUUGAAUUCACUGAUUUGUUUAGUUCGACCCGUUUCCACCGUGCGCGUGUACCAUGCACGACAUUCGAACUGUAUCAGGAUAUUGAGGAGUUGCAAAGUACAGUACGUAAUUAGUACUUGCUGUUGUGGUCGGAUUUUGAUUGCUUUUGCUUAUUAAUGCCUAGUGUUAAUUUUCUCAAGUCAAUCAAGUAAUAAAAGGAGAUGAGAUUGUACUCCAUGUCUCCGUUACGCGUGCCUCGCGAUUCACUUAUGAUUUAGAUCCUUUUUAGUUUGCAUAUAAGUU
rnacentral:lncRNA from 1 species